GUGGUAUUGUAAAGUUUAAAGCUUUUUGCAUGUGAAUGAGUUGGUGUGAACACUUUCAUUGAUGUUUAAAUUCAUGUAUGUGGUGAUCUCUGAUCUGGGUACACGUUAGAUUUUAAUUUUAUGGCAUGGUCCAUUUGACCAAAUAUUUUUGUUACUUGAACUGAUGAACACGAAUUUUGAAGUGAAUACGUGUGUUUGAUUGCUGGAUUUUGUAAGAUUCCUUUGUAGAAAUAUUUUAAUCCCACGAACACUAUGAUUCAGCAAAUAGCUUUGGGAAUGGUAUUGAUUCUAUUCUUGUUUGUUUAUUCAUAUAAGAACUUUGAUGCAACCUUCAGAUUCCUUUUGAACCAUGUAGUUAUAUAUUUGGAUUAGUUUAUAGCAUAUCAACUGUUGAUUGUUGCAUUUAGAUGUUUUUGUUACUUCCAUUCUUGAUUGCUUAUCAUAUGUUAGUUAAAUAGCAAACAUUAUACAUGUUCUUGAUUGAUUAGUGCUCUUUCAAUCAAUGCUCUUUCAAGCACUUGGUUUUUGGUCAAGUGGCUAGAGUUACUCUUUCACAAGUGUGAGGGUAGUGAUUAGAAUCCCCACAAAAAAAUUAUGGGGGUUUAAUUUCUUUCCUCACGUUUGAGUGAAGACAGUCUUCUCCCUUUCGAAAUGUGAGUAGAGUUGAUGUCUCUCGAAUAUUAAAGAGGGUAAAAUCUGGACAAUAUUAUAUAAGAUUUAAUGUAAAUUAGUCUCAAUAAUUAUCUGAUUGUAUAUAUUUGUCAAGUUUCCUCCUCUUAUGUACCCUAUAACUAUAGUAUACCCAGGCCACCCCCUCUCCCUAUUAAACCCUGUACAAAAAACAAAUAUCCCAAUGGAUUUUUACAUUGUAGUUUUGUUUAUCUUUAAUGUUUUCACCAAGUUUUCACUAGAAUCCAAUUCGAAUUAAUUGAGUGGUUAUGCUCGAAUCCAACUUAAAUCUAGGUUUAAAUGUGUUAAAUUUAGGUUAAAAUGUGUUUUUUGAGAGAAGCUUAUGCUAAAUUUAGGUUUAAAUGUGUUUUCUAAUGUUCGGGGCAAGUGACUUAGAUAAGAUAAUUAGAUGGGGAGUUAAAGUGAUAUAUAUAGUGAACUGAGGUGGUCAUUUGGAGAAUAAUAGAGAGAGCUUAGCGGAGUUCUGUAGGAGUUAAUUUAGAGAGUUGAUAUGAGGGCUAAUUUGUGCUCAAGAGUAGCUCAAGUGUGCUUGGUGGAUAAUUCAAAUGGUCUCACAAACUACUUAGUGUAACUGAAGUAGCUUAGAUAAGCUCAUAUGUAAAAUAUAAUCCCGAUCUUAAAUUGAGAAUAUAGUAAAAUAAGCUUAAAUAUAAAGAACGCACAAUGUUUACGUGAUUUGGUCUUCGACCUAUAUCCAUAAGAGCAAGUCAUUACUAAUCUACUGUAUAAAUGAGAGAUUACAUUAAAUUUUAAGAUGAAUAACACAAGCUAUAUAGCGAGAUAUCUAUAUAAAGAUGUUUGGUGUUAAUAAAUAUGAAGAUGGUGAAUAAAGACACGAAGAGCGAUAAUAUGGCAGAAAAGAUGAUGGGGGUGGAGAAUAGAAAAUGGACUCUUAAAAAUGAAGAAGUUUGUGGUGAUCUAGAAGAUAAAGAUAGAGAGAGGAGAGCCCACAAAUAUGGGUGAAUAGGACUUAGUGGAGGCUAAUGUCUCGAUCAUAAAAUUUAGGGAUAGAUGUCAUGCUUAAGUCAAAAGAAGAGGAAUUUUUUAAGGCUAUAUGUCACAUCUUAGGAAAAAUGAGUAAGAAUAUUCUUUUUGUACUAGGUUCAUUUUUAUUAUAAAUAUUUUGGAAUGUCCAACAUUGACUAUCGAUUUCCAAAACCAUCCAAUGUAGGAAAUUCUUCUAAAUGGCUUCUUUAAUUGCUCCAAAUAUCAUGCCUAUUUUGACCUUACAAUUGUCCACGUGUCAUCCAUUUAUUGCUCUCAAAAUAUACUUCUAAAUUUACCCCCAAACAAGUGUUGGGAUUAUGUGCUCUUUUAAAGCAUAUUAAUUUAUUUUCGGAUUAAUAAAAUAUUUGAGAUAUUUUCAAUUGCAUAAAUAUAUUGAAAAAGGUUUGUUUAAUCAUAUUAUAUAUAUUUAUGUGAUCAUCAUAUGGAUUCACAGAAGACAUAAAUACAAGUUAUCUUAUGAUUAAAUAAAUUAAGUUCGCAAUUGAUAAAUAAAGUUAGGCGCUCUAUUUAUGUUUAGGCUGUAAUAAAUUCAUUGAAUGAUUUAUAUUAAUCAUGUAUGAAUUUACUGAUGUAGUUUGACUACAUUGAGCUGGAUCACAUAUGAGAUUUAAUUAACCUUGAAAUGACUGUCAGAUGUUGAGUGUUAGAAAAUGCAUAUUUAUAAAGGAGAAAACCGUCAUUUUACAUUUCAAGUCUUACUAACAACCCUUACUUUUAUGUAUUUAACCUUCUUGUGAUGUAAUUACGUGUGUGUUAUUUUAAUUAAGUAUUUUAUGUAUUUUAGGGGCAUUAUAGUCAUUUCACAAUAAAGGAGAGAUCAGACGGCAAAACGGACAUCACUUUUGAACUCAGGACGGUCGAAAACCUUAGGAGGGGCAUAAAAGGAAAAAUGGCACUAUUCACAUGUACGGUACUAUUCACGUAUACGGUACUGUCUACGUUACUGUUCACGACACUGUUCACAAAGACGGAUCGAUGACGUGGCAUUGACCGAUGAUGUGGCAUUGACUGAUGAGGUGUCACGAUCCUGUUGGACUAAAAUUCUUAUGUACUGUUGACGGUGACGUGGCAGCAUAUCAGUGGACGAAAAAUCUCGCGUACGGUGCAUGCAUCACACAGGAUUAUUUUCAACCAAACCGCGUUACUGUUCAUCCGGGUCAAACCGUGUUACUGUUCAUCCGCGUGGUCAAACCGUGGACUGUUGACUGAUGACGUGGCGCAAUCCUGAGCGUCCAAACUGUUUUUAAUCCGAUGGCCAUGAUUUACUCCAUGUAUCUAUAAAAAGGGGGCCUCCCCCCCCUAAUUUGAUAUCUCUGAAUCCAUUUUUGGGAUCCAUUUUCUGUAAUUCCUUCUCCAUCUUGUAUUUUCUUUGUAUUUUAAUAAAUUCCCUUUUUGCCCCUAGUUCAAUUAUGAGUAGCUAAUUUCUUUUCAAGCUUGGGUUGAAGGUGAAGUCUCAACAUGUGUCAUGGGCUUUAUUUGGUAAAUUUAUUUUCUUUUCCCCUCUAGUUUUUGUGGAUGAUUUGACUUAUCGUCGACAAAUAAUACUGAUCUUGUCUAGAUACCGCCUUGGUUACACCGGCUCUCUAGUAUAAGGUUAUUAUUAUUUGGCACGAUAAGCCCUUAGCACCAUAUUGAUUAGAGCGUGGUUCAUGAGGUGUGGAUUCCCCCCUCAUGAUUUAAUUGGCAUUAAUAUGGAUUAUUUAGCCCAUGAUGCAUGUUGAUACGGAUCCAGAUACCCAAGUACGUCAUUUCAAUAGAAUUCUCUUCAAUUUAUUCUCGCCAUUUCAAUUCCAAUUUCAGAAUUUAUUCUCGCCAUUUUAAUUUAAGUUUUAGCAUAUUCCAAAUCAUUUCCACCACAAUUCCAACCACCCAUUUUGCAAAAUUAAUUCUAUACACAAUUAAAAUCCACCUCCUCGUGGGAUCGACACUCGUCACCAUUGAUCUACACUACAAUAGAUUCGUGCGCUUGCGAGUUCAUUAAAAUUUGCACAACAAGUUUUUGGCGCCGUUGCCGGGGAGGUAAGUAAUUUUAAUUCAUAGAAUUAAUUUUUGUGAAUAAUUUCUUUUAUUUGUUUUCUUGUAUUUUUUUUUCUUAUUAAAAAAAAAAAAAAAAAAAAAAGUGAAUCUACAUUUAAAGGUUAGUAUUUCUUUUCUUUUUCUCUUCUUUAAAAUUCUGUAAUUUAAUUUUCAAUUUAUUUUUUCUUUGUAAUUUUUGUUUAUUUUAUUAAUUUAAUUUUUAGUUAAUUUAUUUCACGUAUUUGUUUUUGUGUGUUUUUAUUGAAAGGUUGUAAUAACGCAAUAAGGUUAGUAUCGUAAUUUCGCCCUCUUCUUUAUUUUUAUUUGUUUUGUUCCCAUCUUUAUUUUUAUUUUAUUUGUUUUGCAUGCAUGGUCGUAGGUCAUUAUUACCUAAUCUUGAACCUAUAGACCUUGAAUUAGAAAAAACACUUCGCACACAAAAGCACAUUAAUAAAUUUGGAAUGGAUCUACAAGCACCACAGGAGAGGCCAUUUAAGGACUAUUUUAGUCCCUUAGCUAAUUUGAGCACAUCAUGUAUUAGAUACCCAAAUGUAGCUGCUAGGAGCUUUGAACUAAAACCUAGUGUGCUAAAUUGUCUCCCCACAUUCUAUGGCCUAGAAAAUGAGGACCCAUAUAAUCAUCUGAAUGAUUUUCAUGCAAUUUGUCAAACUUUUAAAUAUGAAAAUUUUUCAGACGAUGAUGUUAAACUUAGAUUAUUCCCAUUUUCUUUAAAAGAUAGAGCUCGUUCAUGGCUUAAUACAUUGCCUGCCAAUAGCAUUGCAUCAUGGGAACAAAUGGUUACAAAAUUUCUAAAUAAAUAUUUCCCAGUUCAUAAAACCAAUUCUAUUCGCAGGGAAAUUUCAGAGUUUACACAAAGAGAGGACGAGCAGUUUUUCGAAACUUGGGAGCGAUUCAAUGGGCUACUCUUGAAGUGUCCACAUCAUGGGUACGAAAAAUGGCACCAAUGCCAAUACUUUUUGGAGGGAUUAUUGCCGAAUGUGCAAGAAUGGCUAAUGGCAACAAGUGGAGGAGAGUUAAUGUCAAAAAGUGCAUCAGAAAUUUGGGAGUUUUUCCAGCGACAAGCGGACAAUUCCCAACAACGGAGUCGAUCACUCAGGAAUACUAGAAGGAUUAAAGGAGUGAAUGAGGUUCACAUUGGCGAGUCAACUUCGGGAAUCAAAGAAGUCAAGGAGAUGGUUGAAGGUCUUGCUCGACAAAUAGCAUCGUUAUCGACUGCUAAAUCAACAGAAUCACAUGACCAUGACUCAUACUCCGAUCAAGCCAAUGCCAUAGGUGUAAUGAGGAAGCCAUCUAAUUACAACCCAUACUCCAACACAUAUAACCCUGGGUGGAGAGACCACCCCAAUUUUUCAUGGUCUCAAGGAUUCCAACAGAAUGGACCAGCAGCUCCAGCUCCACAAAUUCCUCAAGUUCCUCAAGCCUCUCAGCCACCAUUCAGACCAUACAAUCAGAACCAGAACUACUCUCAACCCAGACCAUGGGAGGAUUCAUUCCAGAAUUUCAAGAAUGCUACUCACUCUACGAUUGAGCAACAGAACCGCACCAUUGAUGGACUACGAAAUGAGUUGAGAGCAGGCUUCAACUCACAAGCUCAAUCAGUUUCAAGCCUGGAGAAAAUGGUGGGACAACUCGCUUCUUCAGUUCAGACCUUGGCAAUGACUGUUGAGAAAGGCAAGUUUCCAAGUCAACCAGUGCCUAAUCCUAAAGGAGUGCAUGAAGCAAGUACCAGUUCACCACAGCAGCAUGGAGAGGUCAAAGCAGUCAUGACCUUGCGAAAAGGAAAGGAAGUCGACAACAAAGUGGAGAUGCCGGUGACAAAAGAAAAUCAAAUUGUACCUGUGAAUGUUGAAGACUCACCACCGGAGGAGAAAGAAGAAACCAGCCCACGAGAGUACGUUCCCAAAGCUCCAUUUCCUCAGAGGUUAGCUAAAGGAAAAAAGGGAAAAUCCACAGGUGAGAUUCUCGAAAUCUUCAAACAGGUAAGUGUUAACAUCCCUUUACUUGAUGCUAUAAAGCAAGUUCCAUCUUAUGCCAAGUUUCUUAAAGACCUUUGUACUAAAAAGAGAAAUAUGCAUGUUCAAAAGAAGGCAUUUUUAACAGAAAACGUUAGUUCUAUACUCCAACAUAAAAUUCCUUUAAAAUGCAAAGACCCAGGCUCCCCCACUAUCUCAUGUAGUAUAGGGAACCACACAAUUGAGAAUGCUUUGUUGGAUUUAGGAGCUAGUGUAAAUUUGUUGCCUUAUUCAGUAUUUGUGAAACUUGGACUGGGAGAAUUACACCCAACUCCAGUGGUGUUACAGCUUGCAGAUCGGUCCACGAAAAUACCUCGUGGUAUUGUGGAGGACGUGCUUAUCCAGGUAGACAAGUUUUAUUUUCCUGUUGAUUUCAUUGUAAUUGACACUCAACCAAUACAGGAUUCAAGGAAGCACAUCCCCAUUAUCCUAGGCCGACCUUUCUUGGCAACUGCGGAUGCUCACAUUCAAUGCAGGACUGGAAAUAUGCAGUUGUCCUUCGGCAACAUGACUAUGGAGCUAAACAUUUUCAACAUUGCCAAACAACCUCACAGUGCAGAUGAUGGAAUUGUUGAUGUGGAUUUAAUUGAAGCAUUAGUUGAUGAUACAUUUCUUUCAAACCUCAGUGAUGAUCCUUUACAAACAUGUUUAACUCACUUUGGUUUGGAUUUUGAUAUUGACAGAUCGGUCGAUGAGGUCAACGCCCUACUUGACUCAGCACCAUCCAUGGACACUAAUAAAUGGAAGUCAAGAGUUGAACAACUAGCACCAUCAGAGAAGAAACUCAUCCCAUCAUCAGAAUCACCACCGAAACUCGAGCUCAAACCAUUACCCAACACUCUGGAAUAUGCAUUUUUGGGAGAAGAAAGCACUCUACCAGUAAUCAUCUCAUCAUCCCUAAAUGACGAACAAAAAGGUAAGUUGUUGGAUGUUUUAAAAGAGCACAAAGGAGCAUUAGGAUGGACCAUAGCAGACAUAAAAGGUAUAAACCCUGCAGAUUGCAUGCAUUACAUUCACCUUGAUGAAAAUGCUAAAACUACUAGGGAGAUGCAACGUCGGUUAAAUCCUAACAUGAAAGAAGUUGUUAGAACUGAAGUCCUUAAGCUAUUAGAUGCAGGUAUCAUUUACCCAAUUUCUGAUAGUUCAUGGGUCAGUCCUGUACAAGUCGUCCCCAAAAAGUCAGGAGUCACAGUAGUUACCAAUGCUGAUAAUGAAUUGAUACCAACUAGAGUAACUACAGGAUGGCGUGUAUGCAUUGAUUAUAGAAAGUUGAAUUCUGUCACACGUAAAGACCAUUUUCCUUUACCAUUUAUUGAUCAAAUGCUUGAUAGAUUAGCAGGCCAUGAAUUUUAUUGCUUUCUAGAUGGCUACUCAGGAUAUAAUCAGAUUCCCAUAGCACCAAAAGAUCAAGAGAAGACCACUUUCACUUGCCCUUUUGGCACAUUUGCAUAUAGGAGAAUGCCAUUUGGAUUAUGUAAUGCACCUGCUACAUUUCAACGAUGCAUGUUAAGCAUUUUUUCUGAUAUGGUUGAACGAUUCCUUGAAGUCUUUAUGGAUGACUUUUCUGUCUUUGGUGACUCGUUUGAUCAAUGUUUACAUCAUCUAACGCUAGUUCUGCAGAGAUGUACCGAGAAGAACUUAGUCUUGAAUUGGGAGAAGUGCCAUUUUAUGGUAAAACAAGGUAUUGUUCUCGGUCACAUCAUUUCGAGCAAAGGUAUUGAGGUUGACAAAGCCAAGGUGGAUCUCAUUUCUAAUCUUCCUCCACCUAAAACAGUCAGAGAAGUAAGAUCUUUCCUUGGGCAUGCUGGUUUCUAUAGACGUUUCAUUAAAGAUUUUAGCAAAGUUUCUAGACCCUUAUGUAAUUUACUUGCUAAGGAUGUAUCUUUUAUCUUUAAUGAUUCAUGUCUAAUGGCAUUUGAAAAAUUAAAGCAGUUGUUGACAUCAUCACCCAUCAUUCAGGCCCCAAACUGGAGCUUACCAUUUGAGCUCAUGUGUGAUGCAUCUGAUUAUGCAGUAGGAGCAGUAUUAGGACAAAGAGUUGAUCGAAUUCCUCACGUUAUUUACUAUGCUAGUAUGACAUUGAAUGAUGCACAGUUGAACUAUUCAACUACUGAAAAAGAAAUGCUAGCAGUAGUGUUUGCAUUGGAAAAAUUUCGAUCUUAUCUCAUUGGUUGUAAAAUAAUUAUAUUCACAGAUCAUGCUGCUCUUAAAUAUCUUCUCACAAAGAAAGAUGCAAAAGCUAGACUAAUUCGUUGGGUGUUACUUUUGCAGGAAUUCGACUUGGAAUUCAAGGAUAAGAAAGGCACAGAAAAUGUUGUGGCGGACCAUCUCUCUCGUCUCCACUUUGACACAAUUACAGAAUCAUUACCAUUGAAUGAGUCAUUUCCAGAUGAACAAUUAAUGAAUGUGGAAGUAUUACCUUGGUAUGCUGAUAUAGUUAAUUAUCUUGUUACAGGUAAACUUCCAGAGCAUUGGACCAAGCAAGACAAGGCUAAAUUCUUUGCGGAAAUAAAGAAUUUCUUUUGGGAUGACCCAUAUUUGUUCAAGUAUUGUGCAGACCAAAUUGUUAGACGAUGUGUCCCUGAAAGUGAAAUUCAAAAUAUCCUUUCAUUCUGCCAUGAACAAGCUUGUGGAGGCCAUUUCAGUGCUAAGAAAACAGCGACUAAAGUUUUACAAUGUGGUUUCUAUUGGCCAACUAUAUUUCGAGACGCUUACACUUUCUGUUCUUCAUGUGAUAGGUGUCAACGAAUGGGGAGCAUUACACGAAGGAACAUGAUGCCACUAAAUCCAAUUUUAGUGGUUGAGAUUUUUGACGUAUGGGGUAUCGACUUCAUGGGACCCUUUCCGCCUUCUUUUGGCCAUCAAUACAUAUUGGUUGGUGUUGACUACGUAUCGAAAUGGGUGGAAGCAAUUCCAUGCAGAACUAAUGAUCACAAGGUGGUGAUAGGAUUUUUGAAAAGCAACAUUGUUUCACGCUUUGGAUUCCCUCGAGCAAUAAUCAGUGAUGGUGGCGCCCACUUUUGUAACAAAGCAUUCAAAGCUCUUUUGACAAAGUAUUCAAUCACACACAAAGUGGCGACCCCGUAUCAUCCGCAAACCAGUGGCCAAGUUGAGAUCUCCAAUCGAGAAAUCAAGCACAUAUUAGAAAAAACGGUGAGGCCAGACAGAAAAGAUUGGUCAUUACGACUUGAUGAUGCAUUAUGGGCAUAUAGAACGGCUUUCAAGACCCCGAUUGGGAUGUCACCUUACAGGCUAGUGUAUGGAAAAGCUUGCCACCUACCUGUGGAACUCGAGCAUCGUGCAUAUUGGGCCAUCAAGAAAUUCAACUUUGACAUGCAGCAAGCCAGCUCAGAAAGAAGAUUACAACUGGCAGAACUUGAAGAAAUUCGCAAUGAUGCAUACGAAAAUGCCAAGAUUUACAAGCAACGAAUGAAAGUCUUUCAUGACAAGCACAUUAUGAGAAAAUCAUUCACUCCAGGUCAGAAAGUGCUUUUAUUCAAUUCUCGCUUGCACCUAUUCCCAGGUAAGUUACGCUCUCGAUGGUCUGGUCCCUUUAUUGUUCAUACUGUUUUUCCACAUGGGGCAAUUGAAAUUAAAGACCCAAAGAACGGUGUCACGUUUAAAGUUAAUGGUCAAAGAUUAAAGCCAUAUCUAGAAUACCAACCACAUGGAGAAGACACCGAAAUAAAUUUGAGUGACCCACCAGAUUUGAAUUGAUUUUUUUUUCUUUUCGUUGAUUUGAUUUUGUUUUCUUUCUUUAUAUUAUUCUUUUGCUAAUUGAAAUUAUUUUUGCAUAAGUGUGUUUGUUUAACAAUUGAGUUUUCUCUUAUCAUUUUUAAUCAUGAGUACCUUACUUAGACCGUUCCUCCUGAACAUUCUUAAACCACUUCAACGUGUCAAAACUCAUCUCAAAAAGCAGAUUCAAUUUUGUAAAACACAACGCAUUUGGGCUCUACAACCACCAGAGUUAGUAGCCUAUGUUGAGGGUUUAGAACGCCAACUCAGAGACAUUGAGCGAAGUGUUUACGACAUCCAGUUGGAGCUUGAGGUAAAUUCAAUAAGAGGACGAUUUUAAUUUUCUUUGUGUGUUUUAAUUAGUUUUUCUGUUUGUGUGCUUUAGUUUGUUACCCCGGUGAAGUGGCGGAUAACGGUACUCCGUGACAAUCAAGUCGGUUACUUCAGUUUCCCAUAAUAACUGACAUUCUGAGGCGAAAGUAUGGACAGAAACGAGAUUCUAGCGAAGCUUCACAAGCGAUUCCCUUCACUUCCUCAGAAUGCCCUCCUUACAAUCUAUAAAUCCCGGUCUGAACGCAUGCGAUUGCUCAUGAGGAAUAACAUACCUGCAGACAUCCGUUGGUUAAUCGAGGCUAAAGUACGAUUGGCAGGUGAGUUACCUCCUAAAUUUAUUGCAUACAUGCCUGGUUGUGGUAAAGGAAAUUACGCAAAAAAACGACGAGCUCGAAGAAUUUCUGUUGCUUGUCACAAGUGUGCCAGAAUGAGUUGCGAUAGAAACCCAUGUUCUUUAGGAAUGGCGUCUGAUAACAGGGAAGAUAAGAUUCAAUUCAUUAGGGAUGGCUUGAAUAAGGAGUCAUUGGAUGAUAUCCUUCUGUCUCUUGAAACGCAUCCCAGUGGAUAUGUGCAAGGAGCGAUUCUCCGGUUAUGGCCAUUAUUCCAGAAAGAGCAUGCACGAUAUAGUCUCGGGAAUCUGACUAUAAACGACCCUGUUUGUCAGUUUAUAAGAAAACUGGAUGGGAAGCCUAUCCUCGACCCAUAGAGGGCGUUCAAGCCGUUUCUGGACGUAAAACCAGAGGAAGAUGUGAGCCACAGUCGCAACUACGUGUAAAUAUCCUUUUACUUUCUGUUAUUUUAUUUCACUAUUGUUUUAUCGUUUGCAUUAUUGCCUUUAAUAAUUUUAUUACUGUUUGCUUUUUCCUUUUUACUGUUUUCUUUUUGACUCGCGAGCCACGUGCUUUACGCGUUAUUUGACACUGACAUGUUACCUCAUACACAGCUGUGAUCCACUAUCACCAAGAUUCUUAAAUGUGAUUUACUUUUUGUCAAGCACUCACAAAUUAUUUUUGAGAAGUAUCACAAUGGCAGCCACUCCCAAUAGACAAUUCAAGAACAUUUGUGUGCUUUCUGGAUUUACCUAUGGCAAACAUAAAGAGUUCGUUGAGGCAGCCAUAGAUCUUGGUCGAAGCAUAGCAGCGAGAAAAUUACAUUUGGUGUAUGGAGGAGGUAACCGAGGGUUAUCAAAAAUGGUCUCAGAAGCAGCUUUUAUCAGAGGAAGUCAAGUGUUAGGCAUCAUCCCAAGAGUCCUAAAACCAUUGGGCAGUUCGUCUGACUCAUCAACAGGAGAAGAGUUAGUCAUCUCAAGUAUGCAAGAAAGAAUAACUGAAAUGCUUAAUCAUGCUGAUGCUUUUAUUUUCCUUCCAGGAGAUCUUGCAACACUAGAGGCACUUAUGACACUAGCAUCUUGGGCCCAUCUGCACAUUCACCAGAAACCCAUCGGUUUGUUAAAUGUCAAUAACUUUUAUGAUGGCUUUAUCGCAUUUCUUAACCAUGCAAUAAAAAACUAUUUCAUUCCUUCUAAUGUGAAAAAACUCUUUAUUUGUGCUCACACUGCUAAUGAGCUACUUGAUAUGUUACAAGCUUAUAAACCGGAGCCAGACCCCUGGACCUUUGUGUUGGAGCGACCAAAUAAUGAUGGUAACAGUAGCCGCAGUAAGAAGUACAAAUUAGAUUUAACUCUCCGCCUGUAAAUAUUUUCUUCUGUGUUGCACCACCCAGGUGAUGUCUUCUAAACUCUACUUCUUUCCUUUAAAACAUUGAGGACAAUGUUUCGUUCUGGUUGGGGGGAGGGAAUAGUCGACAAUUGUGGAAUCUUGGUUAAGUUUUUACUGAUUUUUUGUUGUAGAAACUAACUGUUGCUAACGUUUUGUGUUGAAGAUGGCUGAAUAUGGAGUGUAGUUACUCUAGAAACGCAUCUUCUUAGUUAAAAAAAAAAGAAACAAAAAAUUCUUUUUCUAAUUAAUUUUUCUACAUCAUUUUCACAUUUCUGCAUGCAUAUUUUCCUUUCAUGUUUAGAAUAGGUUGGGGGGUAGAAUGUUGUUUAAAAAAAAAAAAAAAAAAAUUGUGUUAUUUGUUUUAACAUUGGAUGACAUGAUUAAUUUCAAAUUUUAGUAUUUGUAUUAUCUUUGGUCUCAAGUGAUGUUACGCUAUGUUUGCUACUUUACAUGUUGAUGUCGGAGACAAAUAUGAGUUGCUUGAAGGAAUGAACAUGUCAUAAAUAAGUGCCAAGUGAGUAGUUGAGCCUAUCAUUUUCUUGGAGAGUAACCCUUUUGCCCAUUCUUUAUACAGCUUAGCAGUUUAUUAUUUUAUACACGAUCUCUAGAUUUCUUUUAAGUUAACCCUUUAAAAAAAAUAUAUAUGGUAAAAUUAAAAAAAAAAAAAAAGAAAAAAGAAAAAAAUGUGUGUUGCUACAUUGGGAGGCCCAUCUAACUAGUAGAUAUGGAUAAUUAUUUAGAGCCCUAAAAGACGAUGGAAAGGCCAUCUUUGAUCCGUUUGAGCCUUUCUAGCCAUCCCUUUUAUUAAAUAUCCAUAGUUACCCCUUUUGAGCCUUUAAAAAAAAAAAAAAAAAAAAAAAAAAGAACAAAAACCUUUUCUUUGUCAACUUAUCAUCUUGACCCACUCCGAUUUGGAGUAUUACCCAAUGUCUUUUAAGUUCCAUCACCUAUUUAUGUUUGAGAAAAUGUAAAUAAUUAUGUUGUUCAGUGAAGUUAUGCCAAAUAAAAGCAAAAAAAAAAAAAAAAAAAAAAAAACAAAAACAAAAACAAAAACAAAAGUUGUUGUUUCAAAAGAAUAAAAAUAACAAUAAUAGGUGAAAUCCACCUUGCAAGUUCCAAAAAAAAAAAAAAAAAAAAAUCUGCAUUUUUCUCAAACAUACACUUUGUUUUCCUUAUUUCCUUUCUUUGUUAGCCAUAUCCCUAGCCUACGUUACGUCCUAAUAAAAGUCCUUCUUGAUUUUAGAGAACUAUAGUUUGAAGUAGAAGCUAGUUAUAUGGGCUAAAAAGAUGUAGUGGUGCAUAAUAAAAAAAAAAAAAAAAGAUAAAUAAAGUGGGUUGACUAACAUUUUAUUUGACUUGAGAUCGUAUUAUUUCUAAGCUAAGGGCAUAUUUAUUUCAUCUUGGUGAGAGCAUGUGAUAUCACUUCUUUAUUAUUUUCUCUCUCAAUUACCAUUCAUUGGAGUGACUAUUUUUAUUGGGUUUAAUUUAUUUGUGAGAGUGUCAUUACUUCCAGUGAGAUUUUGGGGUUUGACAUGUCAUUCUUGAAAGUAGCUAUAACAAAGUCUACUGGGCCGAUUCAUGUGGAUGGUUGAUGUGGGUGUGAUAUUGCUUUAGACUGGAGAUAAUGCUUAUACUUUUAUUUGAUUGCUAUCAUUAAUCUGAUUGAAUAAACACGAGUGUUUCUAAAAAUAAAAAAAAUAAAAAAAUUUGAAUUUGAAUUUUGUUUUCGCUUUAUUUGCUAGGGACUAGCAAUAAGCUGGUUGGGGGGUGUGUUGAGUGUUAGAAAAUGCAUAUUUAUAAAGGAGAAAACCGUCAUUUUACAUUUCAAGUCUUACUAACAACCCUUACUUUUAUGUAUUUAACCUUCUUGUGAUGUAAUUACGUGUGUGUUAUUUUAAUUAAGUAUUUUAUGUAUUUUAGGGGCAUUAUAGUCAUUUCACAAUAAAGGAGAGAUCAGACGGCAAAACGGACAUCACUUUUGAACUCAGGACGGUCGAAAACCUUAGGAGGGGCAUAAAAGGAAAAAUGGCACUAUUCACAUGUACGGUACUAUUCACGUAUACGGUACUGUCUACGUUACUGUUCACGACACUGUUCACAAAGACGGAUCGAUGACGUGGCAUUGACCGAUGAUGUGGCAUUGACUGAUGAGGUGUCACGAUCCUGUUGGACUAAAAUUCUUAUGUACUGUUGACGGUGACGUGGCAGCAUAUCAGUGGACGAAAAAUCUCGCGUACGGUGCAUGCAUCACACAGGAUUAUUUUCAACCAAACCGCGUUACUGUUCAUCCGGGUCAAACCGUGUUACUGUUCAUCCGCGUGGUCAAACCGUGGACUGUUGACUGAUGACGUGGCGCAAUCCUGAGCGUCCAAACUGUUUUUAAUCCGAUGGCCAUGAUUUACUCCAUGUAUCUAUAAAAAGGGGGCCUCCCCCCCCUAAUUUGAUAUCUCUGAAUCCAUUUUUGGGAUCCAUUUUCUGUAAUUCCUUCUCCAUCUUGUAUUUUCUUUGUAUUUUAAUAAAUUCCCUUUUUGCCCCUAGUUCAAUUAUGAGUAGCUAAUUUCUUUUCAAGCUUGGGUUGAAGGUGAAGUCUCAACAUGUGUCAUGGGCUUUAUUUGGUAAAUUUAUUUUCUUUUCCCCUCUAGUUUUUGUGGAUGAUUUGACUUAUCGUCGACAAAUAAUACUGAUCUUGUCUAGAUACCGCCUUGGUUACACCGGCUCUCUAGUAUAAGGUUAUUAUUAUUUGGCACGAUAAGCCCUUAGCACCAUAUUGAUUAGAGCGUGGUUCAUGAGGUGUGGAUUCCCCCCUCAUGAUUUAAUUGGCAUUAAUAUGGAUUAUUUAGCCCAUGAUGCAUGUUGAUACGGAUCCAGAUACCCAAGUACGUCAUUUCAAUAGAAUUCUCUUCAAUUUAUUCUCGCCAUUUCAAUUCCAAUUUCAGAAUUUAUUCUCGCCAUUUUAAUUUAAGUUUUAGCAUAUUCCAAAUCAUUUCCACCACAAUUCCAACCACCCAUUUUGCAAAAUUAAUUCUAUACACAAUUAAAAUCCACCUCCUCGUGGGAUCGACACUCGUCACCAUUGAUCUACACUACAAUAGAUUCGUGCGCUUGCGAGUUCAUUAAAAUUUGCACAACAUCAGACUCAUUAAAUCUCAUAGGCAUUAAUUUUACUGUAAUCUUAAUCUUGAGUUAAUUAUGAUUUCAUGAUUGUAAUUGUUAUUCCAUUUGAGUUAUCAAUGGGCACGACACACACUUGUGGUCAAGAUUACCCGGUAUCUUGGUGGGAGUAAUUAUGAGUAUUGGAGUUAUAGAUUAACAAUAUAGAAUUUGUACGACACAUCUCUUGAUGGGUUUUCAGCACUUUAUCAUAAAAUUCUCUGGCCAGAGUGUGUCAACAUAUUUAAUAUGUUGAAAAUGAUCAUUAGAGAAAACCAGUAAGUGUCAAGGAACAAGAUGUAAUUAAAUCGAUUGGACAGUUGAGAUAUCGAUUUAAUUAACAAUGUGGUACAAAUGAUUAUGCAGUAAAGAAAUCACUGUGGCUUGGGACAAAUUAUUAUUCGAGCAUACAAUUAUGGAGGUCAGUUCCAAUCUUUUAGUGGAGUAGAUUUGGAAUUAAAUAAUUAGACUAGUUUAAUUACAGGCCUAAUUAUUGUAGCCACUAUUGUAUGUUCCCAAAUAAUCCCCGGGUUAGUUUAUUUAAUUGACUGCAGCACUACUGGAUUAAUAAGCAAGAUAACUAGUUGUUUGGGUCAAAAGCCUAAAUAUAUCAUUUAGUGGGAGGCUCCAUUUAAAAUGCUUAUGUAUAAGGGGCCUUAUAUUAUUUUAUAAAGUGGGCCCCCUAUAAGAAAAACAAGUAACGUGACUUUUGUUUUUUUAUUAUUUAGAGCCUAGGGUUUACACUAAAGGAAGAUAUGAAAAGGCUUAUUUUCUCUAAAGAAAAAAAUAUAGAGCCGCAUUAUACAAUUCAGAGAAAAAAAAUUCUCUCUAAUUUUGAGAGAAAUUUUUUUCUCCUUGCUAGUUGCUUUUUAGUGGUGAUAAAGGCGCCCACACGUCAAGUGCAGAUCAAACCUGAGUCAUAGCCUGAAAGAUUGUUUGGUGACGGAUCGUGAUCUAACCAGCGCGGUGGUGACGGAUCGUGAUCUGGGAGCUUAGAAUAAUUUCCAUUGUUCAUCUUCUUAGAUUAUUAAUGUACGAUUUUUAGAUUACGAAUUCUUAUAUGUUGUAUGAGAUCGGUCCUAAAAGUUUUUUAAAAGAAAAAAUGAUUUUUCUAAAGCAACAAGAUCUCUAGUUUUUUAUGUUGUGUUGAAAGAAUUAAAAGACAAGAAACUCUAAUGAAAAAUUUGGUAUUGUCGACACGUGGUUGCUUCCAGUUGUUAGUUUAUUUGUCUUGUAAUCCUUUGGGAGCAGAUGAGGUAAUAGAGGGAGCUCAGCCCUCUUGGUAAAACAAAAUUUUUUUAUAAAUGUCUUUGAUGGUGACUUAUUAUAUGAGUUUCCUUAGAUUGAUGUAAAUUUAGAACGAGUUUAGGGUUUUUUUAAAUCAUAUACUUUGAAAGUUAAAUUAUCUAAUGAAGAUAAUUUUUUAGAGGGAAAGAAAUCAACUUCCAAGACAUAUACCUCCGCAAAUUAGCUUACGUAUUGGUUGAAUUUAUGUACCUCUGCAUAUGGAUUUAACGUCAAUUCAGUCCCAGGAAGCUUCAAUGCUCUUCGGAACUCCCCAAAGCUUCACAAUGCUCUUCUGUCACUCACAAUGCUCUUUAGAACUCCUUAAAGCUUUACAACAUGCUUGAUGAAGAGGCGGGCUGCUUCAUCAACUUUAACAUCGACUGGUGCGGCAAUGAAAAUGGCGUACUUACUAUAGCGGUCGACAACGACCAUAAUGCUACUGUAACCUUUAAAUUUGGGCAGUGUUGUGAUGAAGUCUACAGAUACACUCUCCAAUGGCCUCGUCGCAAGCGGUAGAGGCUCCAAUAAUCUCGAUGGGAGUUGGUGAUCUACUUUGUAUUAUUGGAACACAAGACAAGUCCGCAAGUAGGCCUCGAUGUCGUCCCUCAUGUUCGGCCAAAAGUACGAGGCUUGGACUAGUGCGGUGGUGCACUCAAUCCCUGGAUGUCCAACCUACUUAUAGUCGUGGCACUCCUUGAUGACUUCCUUCCGCAAAUUUCCUAACCUUGGCAUGAACAAUCGAUCUCCUUUGGUGAGAAGGAUGCCUUCUUCUUGCCAAAAUUGCCUUGUCUUGCCUUUAAGCACCUUCUUCAACAAGUCUUUCGCUAGAGGGUCUUGUUGGAGGCCUUCUUUGAUGCGUAAGACAAGGUCAGACUUUGGUUGGCUCAAGCUAAGUGUUGUCAAUUCUACCAUACGACUUAGAAUGUCCGCAACAAUAUUGGCUUUACCCGGUUUGUACUCGAUCCGAUAGUCGAACUUCGUAAGAAAAUCUUGCUACCAAGCUUGCUUGGGGCUCAACUUCUUUUGAGUUUGAAAGUAGCUUGUCGCCACGUUGUCCAUCAUGAUCGUGAAGUAAGAGCUAAGCAAGUAAUGUCGCUACACUUUCAAACAAUGGAUGAUGGUUGUCAUCUCCUUUUCUUGCACAAUGUAGCAGCGUUCCGUAUCAUUUAGCUUUCGACUUUCGAACGCUGCGAGGUGGCCUUCUUCCAUGAGGACUCAAAUGAUGGAAAAAUCGGAGGCAUCCAUUUGGACUUCGAAGGACUUAGUGUGGUCCAGAAGAGCGAGGACGAGUUCUUCGAAGAUUACAUUCUUUAAGUCUUCGAAUGCACAUUGGCACUCUUCAGACCAAUGCCAUGUCCGAUUUUUCUUGAGCAAGUCGGUCAAGGGUGCCACUUUGAUUUAAUAAUCCCUAAUAAAGCGGCGAUAAUAAUUCACCAAUCUGAGGAAUGAGCGAAGCUCGGGCAUUUUCGAGGGAGGCUCCCAUUCGAGAAUGGCCUUCACCUUUGAGUUUUCCGUCAUUAGUUUCCUGCCCGCAAUCUUGUGGCCGAGGAACUCCACCUCUUGUUGAACAAAUGAGCACUUUUUCAUUUUGAGGAAGAGUUCGUUUUCUCAAAGCACUUGGAGGACUUAUUGUAAAUGUUAACCAUGUUCCUCAAGUGUGGUGCUAUACACCACGAUGUUGUCCAAGUACACGACAACAAAAUGGUUGAGGAACGGUUGAAGCACCUUGCCCAUGAGUGUGCAAAAUAUUGCGGGUGUAUUGGUGAGGUCGAAUGGCAUGACAAGGAAUUCGAAGGACCUGCACCUUGUUAUGCAUGCGGUCUUGGGUUCAUCUCCCUUGGCAUGUUAACUUGGUAGUUCCCAGAGCGCAAGUAGAGUUUGGUGAAGUGAUGCCUUUGCCAAGCUGGUCGAAGAGAUCCGCUAUCAAGGGAACUGGGUAUUUGUUCUUGAUAGUGAUCUUGUUGAGCGGCAGACAUAGCCCUUUCCUCCAAUCCAUCAAGGCUGUCUUUGAGCAGCGGACAUAGCUGUUUGGAGCGUAGCCAUGCGAGGUUCCAAGGCAUCAACAGAUGGGGCCUUGGAUUUGCUGCGAGACUUGGCAUGAGCGCGUCCCUCUUCGCGACCGCGGGUUGGGCUCCAGUGGAACAUCCACACCAAUAACACCCUCUUGUGAUGUGUUAGAAGGGUUGGGCAUUGCUCGUGAGCUAACUUUGCAUGGAUGAAACCUUAGCUCUGAUACCACUUGUCACGAAAUGAGUGUUUUACGCAACGAACCCGUGCGACACUUAGACAACUCUUGUCAAAAGUUUCUAAGUAAGCCUUUGAGCUUCUCGACUAGCUAAGCCUGGAGGUUUUCAAAAGAAUUAGAGAGAAGAGAGGAAUAGAGGUGAAAGAGAAAAAUUGUAUUACUCCCAAAGUGUUUACAAGAGAGCUUACAAGAGUACUUGAGUUGCUUGCUCAUAGCUUAAUGCUCAAAUGCCAAAAGCUAUGCCCUAUUUAAAGGGAGGCUUGCCAAGCUUUAGAGUUUUAGAGAAUUCUACCAACUUGUCUAAAUAUCUAGAUGUUUACAUGUGUUAGAAAUGUGUAGAGAAUUAUAGAUAUGUACAAGCUUGAGAUGUACUGGAGUUGGCUUAAAAUUUUUUUAAUCAGGCCAAGUUAGCAGUCUUGGUCUAAUCUUGGGCUCUUGGCCCAGAAUUGUUGACACUUGGGUUAGAAAUUUGGGCGGUCCGCAACAAUUAGCCAUAAAAUUAAGCAUUUUCCAACUUAUAGAAACUAUUGACAAGCAAAAGAUCAGCUAUCUGCGUUGGAGAAUUGAUUCAACACCAUCUCAAAGUAAGCUGGAUAUUGCCCUUGAACACCCAUGAAAGACGGCAUGUCUUGAAACUCAAGUAACGGCAUCCUCCGAAUCGAAACCGGCGUUAAGAGCCUUUGUAUUUUUUGAUGAGUUCAGCUAGGGUUUUUGAGUCUGCAACUUCCAUGUUUUGGAAAUAAGCAUAGAUGCUUUCUACUUCUGCGAAGCCGUCAUCAUCAUAGCCGUCUGAUAUGGUGUCGAUUUGAAUUGAAUCGGAGGGCGUAAUGGUUUUGUGGAUUUGUAAAUGAAGUUUGUUAUGGAUAGAGUGAUUUUGAGACCUUAGAAGUUAAUGGUUUGGAAAAUUGGAAAAUGGGGUUUAUGCGACCUUUGCUUGGAUAUGAAACUAUCAAGACAAGAGCUCUGUGAAUUUUCUAUUUAUUUAUUUAUUUCUUUUUUGUGAAGUGAUGUAUAUACAUAUGCUUACUUAUUAGGGAAGAAUCUCAUCCACCUCUAUCAAAAUCCUUGAUUCAGAGCAAUCAUCUCCAUCACAGCAUCAAUCAACUCUCUGUCAAGGCCAACAAAUCUGUUGUAUAUCUAAUUCCUUUAAUUUAGGAUCAUUUUAACUAUUUUCUUUUACUUGCUUUGUCGAUGUGUAUAAAUCUGUACCAGUGAAUCAAUAAUAUUUAAGCCUUUACACAAUUACUUGCCCAUUCUUGUUACUACUCUUUGUUCAAUAUCUUAUUUUGGAUAAGCUCUUGAUAGGGGAAGAGGUUGGGGAAGGCAACGCAUGUCACGUGAUUUGCACGUGAGACAUUUGGAUUAUGUGGCUAAAUAAAAUAUUGCGAUUAAUUAUCUGCUUCAUUAGUUAAGUAUCUGUUGAGUGUUGAACGCAUGCAAGAUCUAAAGUUGAUUAUUGUUAAGUGAUGUUUCUCUAAAGUUUAUAUGAAAAAUAUUAUUAAAAAAGUUCGUCUAGUCCACAAACUAGUGGUAUCAAAUCUACCACGCGCAGCCUUUAAUAUUGCAUGUUUUCGCUAUCUUUCAGGAAUAAUUCACUAUAUUCCAUGAGAAACUGACUGUGGGAUUGAAAGACGAGUUUCAAACCAAGUUUACUUCCGAAACAAGAAUUGAAUUCAUGAUUCUUGUAACAGUUAAAUUACAAAUUUAAUAAUCUUUUGUAGUUGAAUUUAAAAUGUAUUCUAUCCCUCAUCAAUUAAUGGUCAUCGUUUACAAAUUUUCAGCAUGUGAAUUAUAAAUAUGAAAAUGUGAAAAGUAAAAAAUAAAUUAAUACGUAGAUAUAAUAGAAACAAAUUGACAACAAGAAGCUUUUGAGUAAUUUUUAAAAUAUAGGAAGUAACUAAAUAAUUGACUUUAACGAUAAGGACUAAAAAAAUAUUUAUUGGUCACAGAUGAAAUGAGUAAUUGAAAAAACAUACAAGAUUUAGGUGAAAAAAUGAGAAAUAUUAGGAAUAUAUAUCAUUCUUCCUGAUUUUUAUUCGUCAAAUUUAAGUGUGCCAAUUAAAUCCAGGGACGUCAAGCAAACUAGCCAUGAUAAUAAAUCUAUUCUGCAAUUAGUUAGGCCUCUGUCUUUCAAUUAAGCAUAUAUGUACAGUUAACUAACUCAUACUUGAUUUUCAGAAAUGGCAUUAUUUGUCCUUCCAAUUUUGGACAUGGACCACUACCAUUUUGUGAUGUGAAUUUGUUUUUGAAAAGGUGAUCUGAAUGUUAGCAUUGCGAAACUUGAUAGAAGGAUUAAUUUUCAACACAUCCACAUGAAUCUAGAAUCAUCAUUUAUACCUUCAUGGUUUGUAAGUCAUCAUUCAGCACUCAUUUCGUUUUUUUUUUUAAAUAAAUAAAUAAAUAACUUCAGCAAUUUGGAUAUUUGACCAAAUAAGUAACUGUAUUACUUUAUUAAUAAUUUUUUAAUAUAUAAAGACAAACAUAUUCUUGAUAAUUUUGUGUUUCACAUAUGACACAAAUGAUACUUAGAAAAGAGUAUUUUCAAUAAUUUUUUUUAUAUAAAUACGAGAAUACUUCUGAAAGUAAUUUAUAUAUAAAUGCUAAAAAAAAAUCUCAGAUGACCUUUCUUAAUGAGAAAUUAAAAAAAAAUGUCCAGAAUAUUUAGGAAAUUAUUUUUACCAGUUGAAUUUCUAAUCUCAUGUUUUGGUGUCUAACUUUACUCCAAUUAAUAAAAUUUGUCCAAAAUGUUCAAAACUCUAAAUUUUUUUUUAAAAAAGUCUAUUUCAAAAAAUAACUUGAUUACUACAAAAUAAAAUUUGUAAUAUCAAAUAAAGAAGAAAUUUAGACAAUUAACCAAUUAAAAUCCUCAUUAAUUUUUUUUGGUGACUUAGUAAGGUCUUUUGACCAUAUUUGACCACUAUGGCGUCUUUAACAUAAAUUUUAUUUGAAUAUUUUAACUUCAAUAAUUUUUUAGUAAAAUGAUACAUAUUUGUGAAUGAUUUAUUGUUACUAUUUUAUUAAUACAAUCAUUAACUUUCAAUGAAACUAGCAAAAUGUAUUUGUGACAUGAUAUCGCAUGGAAUUUAUUGGUUAUCAAGUUUUAUGUUAUUUACACAUACUGAGUAUUGAAAAAUUAUUGGGUUUCAAUUCAAAAUGUUAGAUUAUAUAGGUUACAAAACUAAAUACCUAAAUUAAUCCUAUGUUUGCUGCACAACUUCAUUUGCAAACUUCGUAGGCAAAUUAACUACAUUUGGGAGCCUCUGUGAGCCACCAAUUCUACAGUAAUAUGGCAACUAAAACAUGUGAAUAAUUAAUUUCUUAGGUCAAUGGUGCUUGUCAUUAACAAAUUAAGUCGCCAAUAAGCACAUAGAUCAGUUGACAUGAGGCCUCAACUAAGAUCCUCGAUUCGAGAUUUGAGAAUGCAGCUGCGUUAAAUACUUGUUGGAAAAAUUUUGACAUCCUAAAAGUCCAAACCGAGUCAAAUCUUGAUUAAUCAAUACCUAUUAUGAUCUUUAGAUACCAGAUAAUUUAAUAUACCGAAAAGAUAAAAUUAAGUUCAAGAGUGAUUUAUGAUGCUUCAUUGGCUCGAAAAGAUCGAAUCAACAAAAUGGCCUAGAACCACAAGCACGCGUAAUUUGCAGAACAUGCCUAGUUCAUUUCAAAAUUUUGUCAAGUUGGCAACAAAUUAACGAGUGUUUCACAAAACAGUAUUCAAGUUUCACAUCGUGAAAAUAGGAAUUAAUUUGAUCCACUAGUCAACAACAUACAGAACGUUUAUUGCUCAAAUUGCAGAAACUUAAGAAGACAAACAGAUCGAAGAUUAAGAAAAAUCACUUCAAGAAAAAGGCUCGUAUAUGUGACGUUAUACUUUGCCCUCUCACAUAGAUACAGUCAAAUUUUCUAUUUCUUGAUGCUAAAAAAUAAAAGAAAACGUAGAUAUAUAUGACUGAAUCCAUCACUUUCAUUAGUCGAAUAAGCAAGAGAACAACAUUAACAAGGGGAAACAGAGGGAAACCACACUCUUAUUUGACUAAACUAAUCAAAAUUCUCCUGAUCUUUUAAAACACAUCCAAACUGAUAUUAGUAUACGUAUAUUUAUUUUACCUUUAAUUUCUCAAUUAAUUCUGAAAUUUUUCUAUUUUCUAGGAUGAGUUUUCAUGGACAUUAAUUGUGGUUACAAGAAGAGGCAAUUAAUACAAAGAUUGAUCUGACAAAACUGCAACAAGUGGACUUUCUUUGGGUAAUCUUUAUAGCCUAGACAUCUUUGAAGACUUUUGGCACAGCGAGAAGGGAAAAUUCUUCUCUACUUUAGAGGUCUUGCUCAGCCAUUGACUUGUUAACUACUCCUUAAUUGCUUUUGUACGUGUGGGUUCCAUAAUUUUGACUCCAGAUAUGCUUGUAUGCUCAACUUCAUCAAUUUAUAAGGUUUGAAAACCUUUCCAAUUUCAAUCCACUUCGGUUUGUCUUUAAUUUUUUCACCAAAUUUCCACUAGGAUCCGAUUUGAAUUAAUUGAGUGGUUCUCACUGGAUCCAACUUAAAUCUGAUUCAAAUAAAUAAAUUUAUAUUUGAGGGAAGCUUGUGCUAAAUUUGUAUUUAAAUAUGUUUUCUUAUGGUUGGGGCAAGUGACUCAAGUGUGCUUGAUGGAUAAUUCAUCAUAUGGUCUCACAAAAUACUUAGCAUAACUGGAGUAGCUCAAAUAAGCUCAUACCUAAAAUAUAAUCUCGACCUCAAAUUGAAAAUAUAGUAAAAUAAGCAUAAAUAUAAAGAGCACGCAAUGUUUACCUGAUUUGGUCUUCGACUGAUGUCCAUAAGAGCAAUUCGUUGCUAAUCCAUUAUAUAAAUGAGAGAUUACAUGAAAUUUUAAGAUGAAUAACACAAGUUAUAUAGCUAGAUAUCUAUAUAGAGAUUGGUGUUCAUAAAGAUAAAGAUUGUGACUAAAAAUAUGAAGAGUGAUGAUAUGGUAGAGAAGAUAAUGGGGUGGAGAAUGAAAAAUGGCCUCCUAAAAAUGGAGAAGUUUGUGAUGAAGGUUAAAUUAUCUAACGAAGAUAAUUUUUUGAAAGGAAUCAACUUACAGGACAUCUACCCCCGCAAAUUAGCUUACUUAUUAGUUGAACUUAUGUACCUCUACAUAAAGUCUACGCAAUUUUAGUGUACGAUGUUGUGCAAAACUUAUGCUAUUCACGGCACGCUAAUCAUCAUCAUUUGCAUGAACAACACUUUUGCACUCACCAUGUGUAGUGGUGGUUCCCUACUUCCCACUUAUUUAGCACUUUUGCACUCACCAUGUCGAGCUUCAGAAAUUUCAAAGGAGAUAGCCCUUUAAGACCUUUUUUGCUUUUUGCUUUUUCUUCAAUUAUUUGAUUGUUUUUAUCAUUACAAGUUUGCCUGCCAACCCAUCUACCAAAAUCAAAUCACUCCCUUUCUUUUCCUCUUUUGAUAGCCAUAGCUAAUGUUGAGAAAGAAUGGUUAAGGUUUCUCUCGUUCCAACACCUGUAUCUUUGUGAAAUAUGCCUCCAAUAUCAAUUGUCUAAUGGUAAAUGAACUGUUUCUUAUCCAAGGUUUUUGUGAGUGUUAAAAUGAAAAUGGAUAAUGAUGAUGAUAACAUUACUCUUAAUUUCCUUUACUUUUUUCUAAUUAACAAAGAACACCUUGUUGAAUGGUUACCAAGUGUAAAUAAGAGAACGGUUAAUUUGACUCUCUCUCUCUCUCUCUCUCUCUAUAUAUAUAUAUAUAUAUGGAAGUUCGUAAUCUAAUAAAAUUAGACUUGUCAUAAGAUGCUAACUUUAUAAAUAAUGGACUAAACACUGCCCACUGCAUAACUAAUGUAAAUCUAAGCAGGCAGUGGCGAAGCUAGCACUAUUUUUUGGGGUGGGCUAGAUUUUUUUUUAAAUUCAAUUACUUCUCAAAAAAUUUAUUCUAUACAAAUGAAAUUAUUAAAAUAUACUAGACAAGUAAAAAAUUAAUAAUAAAAUUAUAAAAAUACAAUGUAAAUAAAAAAAAUACUAUCGACGAAAUUUCAUUCUGCGUUUCUUCAAAAAAGAAAACUCAUAUAUUAUCGUAUCUGAAUUAUAUUGUCUGCGAUAAUAAUACAUUAGAGAAUUAUUAAUUAUUUUAUCAAAAAAAAUUGACAAAAGUAUAAGCCAAUAACUAAUUCAAAAAUAGUAUGAGCAUGUGGGUACGACAGAGGCUGGUUGUCACUCAUGAGGUGGCAACUUGAUAACUUGAAUAUAUAAGUUUUAGGGAAUUUAGAAUUUAGAUAAUUUGAUCAAUUAGUCAGGGAUUUGAGUUAAUUUUUUGAUUUAAAAAAAUAGAUAUUUACUAUAAUUAUUAAUUAUAUUUUUAUAUUUUACUAUAAUUUUUUUUUAAUUUAUAAUUCAUUAAUAUUUUUUUUUCAAGAAACUAACCCGGGCUGCAGCCCGGGUUAGCCUCCUCAGAGCUUCACCCCUGUAAACAGGUUUAGGUUUUUUUAAAUCAUAUACUUGGGUGAGAUUCCAAAAGAACUUUGAAAAUUAAAUGAUCUAACGAAACUCAUUUUUUAGGGGGAAAGGAAUCAACUUACAGGACAUAUACCUCCAGAAAUUAGAUUACUUAUUAGUUGAACUUUCGUACCUCUGCAAAUGGAUUUAACGUCAACGCACUCAAUCCCAAAAAGUCCACACAAUAAUAAUGGAGGCUCCAUUAUUAGUUGAACACCGUGUGGACUCCAUCAGUUGCCCCGCAAAAGUUAAUGCAGUCCGCAAAUUAGACUGGGACCAUUAUUAGUUGUACUCUGAGGCAUUAUAAUUUUUCUAUUGCCAUUUAAAUUGGCUAGCUGCGAAUGAGAACUCGAAAAUGACAUACGUAAUUUUAUGAGCCACCAAUAAUAAUGGAGGCUCUUACGUUGAGUUUUAUUACAGUCUCUGAAUUCUAACUUUUUUUAUUUAAAUCCUGUACGCUGGUGGCGUAUGUGUUAUACAGUCUGAGUAUAUCUAUUGGGAGUCUGAUUCAUACAUAUGAAACUUUUAGUGACAGAAUAAAUUCAAAUUAGACUGGGACCACACCGUUUUAUCAUGGGACCACACUCUUAUAAGGUAAAAUCAAUAAUUUUUAUAUCAAGAAGUGGGCCAACGCUACAAUACCCGCAUGUAUCACAUACAUGCGGAUAAUAAAAAUAUAUAUAUAUAUGGCCAUUGUUUGGCUGCCACUUGGCAGCCAAACAAAAGAAAAACUUGGAGCAACCGGUUGCUCCUUAAAUUAAUAUUAAAUUAUAAAAUAAUAUUAUAAAUAAAUAUAAUAAAUAAAAUAAUAAUUAUUUUAAUAAUAAAGGCAACAUAAUAAUAAAAAAUUAGUUUUAUAAUAAUUAAAAAUUAGUUUCAAAUUUAAUGGUAGUUAUUUCAUAUUUAUUGGUCCAUUAAUCGGGGUUGCAAGUUAAUGCACCUAAGUUUCAUGUUCAUUGCUUUCAGUUUCAAGUUCAUUGCCCUCAGUUUCAAGUUAAUUUGAUUUCAAAUUUAAUGGUCCGAGUUUCAAGUUAAUGGUAGGUGUUUCAUGUUUAUUGGUCCAUUAAUUGUAUGAUUUUUGGGAUAGCAAGUUAUUGAUCUCAAGUUUCAUGUUCAUUGCUCUAAGUUUCAAGUUUCUUUGGUUUCAAAUUUAAUGGUCUUAAUUUCAAGUUAAUGGUAGGUGUUUCAUGUUUAUUGGUCCAUUAAUUGCAUGAUUUUCGGGGUUGCAAGUUAAUGAUCCCAAGUUUCAUGUUCACUGCUCUAAGUUUUAAGUUCCUUUAAUUUCUAGUUUAAUAAUCUCAGUUUCAAGUUAAUGGUAGGUGUUUUGUGUUUAUUGAUCCAUUAAUCGGGGGUUACAAGUUAAUGAUCUUAAGUUUCAUGCUCAUUGCCCCCAGUUUCAAAUUCAUUGCCCUCAGUUUCAAGUUCAUUUGGUUUAUAGUUUAUUGAUCCUAGUUUCAAGUUAAUAGUAGGUGUUUCAUGUUUAUUGGUUGCAAGUUAAUGAUCCUAAGUUUUAUAUUCAUUAUCCUCAGUUUCAAGUUCAUUACCCUCAGUUUUAAGUUUAUUUGGUUUCAAGUUUAAUGGUCUCAGUUUCAAGUUAAUGGUAGGUGUUUCAUGUUUAUUAGUCCAUUAAUUGGAGUUGCGAGUUAAUGAUCAUAAGUUUCAUGUUCAUUACCUUCAGUUUCAAGUUAAUUUGGUUUCAAAUUUAAUGGUCUUAGUUUCAAGUUAAUGGUAGGUGUUUCAUGUUUAUUGGUUCAUUAAUCGAGGUUGCAAGUUAAUGAUCCUAAGUUUUAUGUUCAUUGCCCUCAGUUUCAAAUUCAAUUGGUUUCAAGUUUAAUGAUCUCAGUUUCAAAUUAAUGGUAAGUGUUUCAUGUUUAUUGGUCCAUUAAUUGCAUGAUUUUCGGGGUUGCAAAUUAAUGAUCCAAAGUUCCAUGUUCAUUGCCCUCAGUUUCAAGUUCAUUUAGUUUUAAGUUUAAUGGUUCCAGUUUCAAGUUAAUGGUAGGUGUUUCAUGUUUAUUGUUCCAUUAAUUGCAUGAUUUUCAGAGUUGCAAGUUAAUGAUCCAAAGUUCCAUGUUCAUUGCUUCAAGUUUCAAGUUCCUUUGGUUUCAAGUUUAAUGAUCUCAGUUUCAAGUUAAUGGUAGGUGUUUCAUGUGUAGUGGUCCAUUAAUCAGGGUCGCAAGUUAAUGAUCCUCAGUUUCAAGUUCCUUGCCCUCGGUUUCAAGUUCAUUGCUCUCAGUUUCAAGUUCAUUUGGUUUUAAGUUUAAUUAUUCAGUUUCAAGUUAAUGAUAGGUGUUUCAUGUUAACCAGUUUUUCAAGUUUCCAUUUCUUUCAUAUUUAAUAAUAAUAAUAAAUCUCAGCCAUUCGAUCUACUCCAAUUUAAUGCAAUGGCUAUUUUUUAUGCAUGUAUGUAGCCGCACCCCAAGAAGUGACAUUAAAUUUGUUUCCCAACUUUUUAGAUGUACUAUUUAUUGAAGGAGAACUUUACGCGAAGUGAUUUAAUUUGUAUAAAAAUGAGCUAACUUACUGCUUUUUUUUUUUGCUAUAAUUUGCCUGCACUAAUGAAAAGUUUCAAUUAGAUAUACAAGUUCCAAUAUAGUAUGCUAGUGACUAAAAAAUAAAUAAAUAAAUAAAACAUCAUCUUACUGUUUAUUUCAUGGAAACCAAGUGUUUAGAGUAACUUGAUUUACAAGAACCCGGUUCGCGGGUCCAUGUUUUGUCUAGGAAGCCUCAGUAGCCUUGCGUUAUCACAUCACAAGUAAUAGAAGCAUAAAAAAUAGCUUUUGUUUUGAUAUAAUAAAGAUUUGUACUUCUAAAUUCAGCAUUUGAGUUCGUUACGAUGAAGUUUCAGAGUUUCUUAAUGAACUAACAUAACAUCCUUUAUUAGCCGGAGUCAAGAAUAAAAGGUGCUAAUGGGCAGGCGUGUCAAAGCAGAGUGAUUCGCGACAAUCACAAAUGUGAUCUUAACUAGCUCUCUGUGAAAAGCUCGUCUUUGUAAUCUUUUUAAUACUCUCUAUGAUAACAUUGGAAAAAUCUUCCCAACUUGAUGCAUUGACUUGUUGACCCCUCAAUUGCUCUUGUCUGUGGCUUCUAUAAAUUUGGCGUCCAACAUGCUCGUUUUCUGCACCGUUGUAUGUUUUCCAAAAGCUAAGAGUCAUCAAAAGAUCUUUUGAAUUUCAAUAAAACUUCGGUUUAACUUUAUUUAUUUGAUUGUGUUUUUGGAAUAUCAAUGGGGUCACCAACCCUCAAUACAGUUGUUCCUUCACUUGUUUUGUUGAUCCUAUUUUUUGUGUUAAGUUUCUUAAUAACUGUUUCUUCAGCAUCUAAUGAAGAAGCAGAUGCUCUUCUCAAAUGGAAAGCCAGCCUUCAAAUCCAUAACCGAUCUCUCCUUUCUUCUUGGAUUAAGGACACCACCAAUGUUUCAUCCAAAACAAGCCCGUGUGCUUGGUAUGGAAUCAGUUGCAAUGACGCCGGAAGAGUCGUCAACAUUACCCUCCCAGCUAAAGGAUUAAAAGGUAGGCUUCAUGAUUUCUCAUUCUCAUCGUUUCCUCAUCUUGCUUAUCUUGAUCUCAGCUAUAAUAAACUCUUCGGUACUAUCCCGCCUCAAAUUAGUAACCUUACGAAUCUCAUCUACCUUUAUUUCGGAGGCGAUCAAUUUUCAGGAAAUAUUCCACCAGAAGUUGGUCUUAUGAGUCAUUUGAAGUUCCUUUACAUUGAUACGAACCAAUUAGAUGGCUCAAUUCCACCAGAACUAGGUCAGUUAAGUUCUAUGGUGGAGCUUUCCUUGUUCUCUAACCACUUGAACGGUUCAGUCCCUCCUUCUUUAAGUAAUUUGACCAACCUACAACAACUAUACCUCUUUAAUAACAGCCUAUCCGGUUCCAUUCCUCCCUCCCUUGGGAAUUCAAUGUUAACCAUGGUAAAUUUGGAUUUCAAUCAUUUUACAAGUUAUUUACCGCACAAUGUUUGUCGAGGUGGAGCAUUACAGUAUUUUACUGUUUCUGAAAACCAUUUUCAAGGAACAAUCCCUAAAAGCUUGAGAAAUUGCACAAGCUUAUUCCGAGUACGCCUUAAUGGAAACAACCUUACUGGAAAUAUAUCAGAAGCUUUGGGCAUUUAUCCUAACCUGACUUUCAUAGAUCUCAGCCGCAAUAAUUUUUACGGUGAAAUCUCAUCUAAUUGGGGGAAAUGCCCAAAAUUAGGCACUCUCAACGUUUCGAUGAAUAACAUUACUGGAGGUAUACCGCGUGAGAUUGGAAACUCGUCUCAACUACAUGCACUCGAUCUUUCAUUGAAUCAUAUAGUUGGGGAGAUUCCAAAGGAACUUGGGAAGUUAAAUUCUCUAACCAAGCUCAUUUUGCGCGGGAAUCAACUUACAGGACGUCUACCUACAGAAAUCGGCUCACUCAUUGAACUUGAAUACCUCGACUUUUCUGCAAAUAGAUUCAACAAUUCAGUCCCAAAAAGUCUCGGUAACUUGCUGAAAUUGCACUACUUGGGCUUGAGCAACAACCAGUUUGUCCAAGAAUUGCCAAAGGAAUUGGAGAAGCUAGUUCAACUUUCAGAAUUAGAUUUGAGUCACAACUUUCUUGGAGGAGAAUUACUAUCUCAGAUCUGCAAUAUGGAAAGCUUGGAGAAGUUGAAUCUCUCGCACAAUAAUCUCUCUGGUUCGAUUCCAAAUUGCUUUGAGGGAAUGCACGGUCUAUCAGUCAUUGACAUUUCUGAUAAUCAACUGCAAGGCCCAGUUCCAAAUAGCACAGCAUUUCGGAAUGCCCCAGUGGAAGCGUUAGAGGGGAAUAAGGAAUUGUGUGGAGGUGUGAAAGGAAUGCAACCGUGCAAAGUUUUCUCGUCACACAAGCAAAAUUCCGGAGCCAAGUGGUUUGCAAUAGUGUUCCCCGUGUUAGGAGCACUAUUUGUUUCAAUGGCGCUGAUAGCAAUUUUCAUUCUUCGAAAGCGGAAGUCAGACUCAGGAGAUCGACAGAGCAGCAGCCAGAACCCUCAGGAAUUGUUUUCUAUAUUAAAUUUCGACGGGAAACUUGUGUACGAUGAAAUUGUUAGAGCAACAAAUGAUUUUGAUGCAGAGUAUUGCAUUGGAAAUGGUGGACACGGAAGUGUUUAUAGAGCUGAGCUACCAUCUGGGGAGGUAGUAGCUGUCAAGAAAUUUCACUCAUCACUCCCAUGUGAUCAGAUUGCAGAUCAAAAAGAAUUCUCGACCGAAGUUAAGGCCUUGACAGAGAUACGACAUCGAAACAUUGUGAAACUUUAUGGAUUUUGCUCACAUGCCCGACACUCUUUUUUGGUCUAUGAAUUUCUUGAAAGGGGUAGCUUGGCUGCGAUCUUGAGCAAUGAUGCAGCAGCACAAGAACUGGGUUGGAGUCAGAGAAUGAAUGUGAUCAAAGGCGUAGCUGAUGCCUUGUCUUACCUGCACCAUGACUGCUUUCCUCCGAUUGUCCAUCGAGACAUAUCAAGUAAGAACUUGUUGCUGGAUUUGGAAUAUGAAGCUCAUGUUGCAGACUUUGGAAUUGCUAAGUUUCAGAAGCCAGACUCGUCCAACUGGACUGAAUUUGCAGGCACAUACGGAUACAUUGCACCAGGUAUCUAGCAUUCGUUUGUUACCAUUUUGAGGAAUAUUUUUGUGUUAUGUGUGCGGUAACAGAACAAUGCAACUAGAUAUUGUUUUAAAAAUUAUGUAUUACAUUCAUUAGACUUGUAAAAUCUCACUAGUUUAUGCACAUUUAUCUCAGAAACAGAGUAAACAUUUUUUUUUUGGUCCUUGACCUUGCAGAGCUUGCUUAUACAAUGAAGAUCACAGAGAAAUGCGAUGUGUACAGUUUUGGAGUGUUAGUGUUGGAAGUGAUCAAAGGGAAGCAUCCAAGAGAUUUUCUUUCUUCGACUUCAUCUCCAUCUCUCAACACAGAUAUAGCACUUAAUGAAAUGUUGGACCCGCGUCUUCCAGUUCCAUCAUGCAGUGUUCAAGAAAAACUGAUAUCAAUCAUGGAGGUUGCGUUUUCAUGCUUAAAUGAGAGUCCGAAGUCUAGACCAACUAUGAAGAUAGUCAGUCGACAAUUGCAGAUUUCAGCUGCCUUGACUGAGUCUUAAUUUUCUAAGUAUGCUUCUAAUUUGCUUGGUUUAUUUCUCUCAUGUACUGUAGUUUGUUUGUUCUAGUUUUCAAGAAUCAGGAGGCGUUGGUUAUUACGUCAUCCAUAUAUACUUGGUAUAUGGUGUACUCUUUUCAUUUUUAAAUAAAAUAAAGUUUGCUCAUACCUUAGAGGUUUAGUUAAAAGAACGCAUGGAGCAGUGGUGAGCACAUUUGAGGACAUGUAGAGUCUGUACAAUGAAGACCAAGAUUAGUAAGACAGUUUGUAAUAAUAAAAAAUAAAUGCACGUACGAGAAUCUAUGUUAAUUUUUAUUACAGUCUCUGAGUUCUUACCAUUUUUUUUUUUAAAUUCCUGCCUAGUGGCGUAUGUAUUAUACAAUCUGGGUACCGUAUAUCUAUUGGGAGUCUGAUUCAUACAUAUGAAACAUUUAGUGACAGAAUAAAUUCAAAUUAAUCCGGGACCACACCAUUUUAUCCUGAGGCCACAAUCUUACAAGGUAAAAUCAAUGAUUUUUAUAUCAAGAAGUGACAUAAAAUUUGUUUCCCAACUUUUUACAUAUAUUAUUUAUUGCAGGAGAACUUUACGUGAAGUGAUUUAAUUUGUAUAAAAAUGAGCUAACUUACUGCUUUUUUUUUUUUGCUAUAAUUUAUAAGUAAUGACGUCUGCACUAAUGAAAAGUUUCAAUUAGAUAUACAAGUUCCAAUGUAGUAUGCUAGUGAUUAAAAAUAAAUAAAUAAAUAAAUAAAACAUUAUCCUACUGUUUAUUUGUUGGAAACCAAAUGUUUAAAGUAACUUGAUUUACAAGAACCCGGUUCGCGAGUCCACAUUUUGUCUUGGAAGCCUCAGUAGUCUUGCGUUAUCACAUCACAAUUAAUAGAAUCAUCAAAAAUAGCCUUUAUUUUGAUAUAAUAAAGAUUUGUACUUCGAAAUUCAGCAUUUGAGUUCGUUAGGAUGAAGUUUCUAAGUUUCUUAAUGAACUAAAAUAAUAUCCUUUGUAUUUUCUCAUCAAUAAUAAUAAUAAUAAUAACAUCCUUUAUUAGCCGAGUCAAGUUUAAAAGGUGCUGAUGGGCAAGCAUGUCAAAGCAGGGUGAUUCGCAAUUAUCACAAAUGUGAUCUUAACUAGCUUUGUGUAAAAAGCUCAUCUUGGUAAUCUUUUUAAUACUCACUAUAUAUAAAUAUACUCUCUCCUGAGAUCAACUGAUUAAAUUUGUCUUUCACCUUGCAGAGCUUACUUAGACAUACGAUUGGAUAUUUGUAUUUUAUUUUUUCAGGGCAAUUACCGCGACAUUAUUAACAUUAGACAUGAUUAAUAUGGUGUGUUUAUUGUUACACGAUGUACUCUUUCAUUUAUAAAUAAAGUUUGCUCAUUCCUUAGAGGUUCAGUGUUAGAGUGCAAUUUAUGCACUAGUUUUGCAUUGUUUACUUCCCUUAAUAUCAAUGUUUUGCAUUUAAUAAUCGUGAUUUACUUGUGUUUUACUUUUGUAGGUGCAAUUCUAUUGAUUGGUGAUAAAAUUGAGCUACAAGAUGAUGUUUAAGGAUGAUUGUUCUCUUGGAAAAAUUAUGAGCGUCAGAAGAACUUUGUUAAUAAGGCGUGAGCGCAUGCUGUCAACUACGGACCUGCAGUUUUUAGUUUAACGUAUUUUGUAUUUUUGGUUAUUUUUUUAAUUAUGAAUUUAAUAUUUCAGAUAUUAGUAUUUUAUUUUAAAUAGAACUCUAGAGCAGAAGAGAGAGUAUUUAAGGGAGAAAUCUAUUAUGAAAAAUGGGACUUUUGGGGGAGAAAAGGAAGAAACCCUAGAUCUAAAUUUUUCUCUUCUCUCUAUGAAGAACUAAAUCUAUUAUUCUGAUUGAAGGUUAAUGAAGCUUUGAUUCAUCACUACUAUGAGAUCUUUCUUAUGCUUUAAUUGUUUUAUUGCUUUUUGGGUAUUUGUUUAUUCUCUGAAUUAUUUUCAUGAUUAUGUUUGUUAAUUAGAUAACUGGCCACUAUUUAAUUAUCAACUUAAUCUAUUGUCAAUUAAAGGAUUUAUCGUAUGAAUAUUUUAAUGUUUGUGACAAAUAACAUAGCAGUGAGUUGUGUUAUGAGAAUAAACAAUCUAAUUUAAAUGAACCAUCGUAUGCGUUUGUUGAUUAGGAUUUGGGUCUCUCUGGUUCUUCAGGCUGUCAAUUGAUUAAAUCCUAUGAUCGUAUCUAGGGUUGUCUAUUGAUUAGGGAAAUAACCAACGGUCGUACCUUGGUUAUCGACUAGUUAAGGAGAGAUUGGCUAUUAGAGGGUCUCAGUAGCUAUAACCGGUCUAUUCAUAAGUAGUAAUAAUUUAUAUUUGAAUCAAUGAUCAGUAGUCGAAUUAAGCUAAGUUAAUUCCUUCAACCAGAGUUUUCUCCAAUUUGAAUUACAACUUUAAUUUGCAUUCUUGUUAUUUUAAUUUGAUUUUUAUUAUCGUCAACGAAACCCCCAUUUUAUGUUUUAUGUUUUAAAAGGAUUUAAAUAAUUACCGAUCUCUGUGGGCACGACCCUGCUCAAUCACUAUACACAAUUUAUUUAGAGUAUGUAUUUAUUUUUGUUGGCUUCGACAACCAUCAUUCAGUUAAAAGAACGUAUGGGGCAGCGGUGAGCACAUUUGAGGACAUGUGGAGUCUGUACAAUGAAGACCAAGAUUAGUAAGACAGUUUGAAACAAUUGAAAAAAUAAUUUGUUGCGAACCCCUCAAAUGUAAGCUUGAAAGUGUGUACCACUGUAUUAAUUGGUGGGUGGCUCUUACUUAUUGAUAAUGUUAAAUUAAAUGUUAAAAGAAAGGAAGAUAGGAGAAAAAAUUUAAAAAUUGACGAUAAUUUACAAUGCAGUCCUUGUGAUUUAACCAAAAAUCAAAUAAACCAAUAAUAAUUAGUAUUUUUUUGGGAAUGAUUUGUCUUAGGUUUGAGUAAACGGUUUGAAGGAACUUAUAGCUCUCACCAAUUGUCUUGAAUGCUCUAAUGGCUUACACUUUGUAGAAUCGCCAAUGUUGUGAUAAUAACUUUGAUGGUUAAAAUUUGAUUGUGAAUUUCGGUUGAAUGAUUUAAUUUACGUUUGGUUUUUAUACCGACCUCUACCAAGUUAAUCUUUUUUCCGGAUGUUUAAUUUUGUUAUGUCAAAGUUAAUUGGUUGAUGUCCUAUAUUUGAUCAAUGUGGAUGGCUGAUCAAAAAUAAAGAAUCCUUGAACGAAUUGCGGCCUUGACAGAGAUACGACAUCAGGGCAUUGUAAAACAUGACUGACAUUCUACUUGAGUUUAUGAAUUUCUUCGAAGGGGUAGCUUGGCCAUAAUCUUGAGCAACAAUGCAGCCACAUAAGAGUUAAGUGGGCUGGAGUCAGAGAAUGAAUAGGAUAAAAGGCGUUGCCCAUAAGGUGUAAUAUUCGUUUGUUGCCAUUUUGAGGAAUAUUAAUUUGUACGCAUUUAUCUUGCAGAGCUUGUUUAUUUGUCCUUGACUUGUAGAGCUUGCUUACACAAUCAAGAUCACAGAAAAAUACGACGUGUACAGUUUCGGAGUGUUAGUAUUGGAAGUGAAAAAGGGAAAGCAUCCAAGAGAUCAGAUGUUCUUUCUGCAGUUUCAGCUUCAUCUUCCAAUCCCACUUGAUGAAAUGUUGGAUCCUCGGCUUCCACCCGAUCCAUUGUUCGAUGUUCAGGCGAAGUUAGUAAUCAAUCAUGAAGGUUGCCUUUUCUUGCUUAAAUGGGAAUCCAGAAUCCAGACUGAUCAUUACUGUUUGAGUUUUAAAUAUUUGCCUUCCUUUCUCAUUGUUGCACAAGUUGAUUAUAAAUAUCAUGCUUAUGCAAGCCUUAUUUCGGAACAAAAGAAUAUUAGUUGACAGAAUUAUGCAACUAGGGAAUGAUGUAAUCCAUAAUUAAUUAGUCCGUCUUCAACACAAAAUAGAAAAAUUUAGUUGACAGAUGGCCUCAAAAGACUAGCUUCGUUUUUGCUAGAAAAGAAAUAAAAUCUGCUUCUAUGGCCUCUGUAAACCAACUCCUUCAAUGCCUCCAAUUUCAAAACUAUCAUUGAUAUAGAGCCAUUGAACCUGGGCUUCAUAUUCAACUUUUCAGAGUUCCAUUUCUAGGCUGAAGUUUUUGAGAGCUUGGACGGACUUGACACUACAUGACCCUCGCGAGAUAUGUCCCAAAAUCCCCUGAGCCAUAAUUUUGCUACAAAACCCGACAGAAUUAAUGAUCCUUAUUAAUUAUGAAUUACAUCGUCCUUUGGUUGCAUAAUUUUGGAUAAAAAAUUUGGAUUAGUUUUGGUGAUCGGCUGAGCUUGUGUCCAGCAUGAAUUUCACGUGGAUUCCAAUCAACUCUUGACCAUAGAUUCUGUGCCCCCCAACACAAUAUGCUUAUGGUUUAAAAAUAAAAUAAAUCAUGUUAAUGCUUUGUAUCAAUACUUGAUGCUUCAACAAUCGUUUUCUGCGUGCACGGACUUGUCGAUAAAGAAAGUUUAAUGUUCCAUGUAUUAGUUAUUUGUUUACAUCUGCUUAAUCUGAUUGGAGUGAAACGAAAUUAACAGUUUCUUUGUUUGAAAAAAUAAAUAACUAUAAUUUCUUGAAUAUUCGAUGAAUUAACAAAAGAAUUGUGAAUGAAGUUUUGUUUGGUAUUAAGGUAUUGUUAUCUUUAAAUCACAAUUAUUGUGAAAAAUAAAGGUAUAAUAAAAAAGUAAAAGUUGAUAAUUUUUAAUAAAUAUAACUUUUAAAUGAUAAUUUUAACAAAAAUAAUAAAGAUACGAUAAGUUUUCUAUCAUUAAAAUAAAAUCAUUUCAGCUUUCAAGUCAUAGUGAUGAUAGAGUUACAAACUCUUAUAUACAUUUAUUUUGUAUAAAUUGAUGUAGCAUAAAUUAUUUGUUAGAUAAAAAUAUAAAAUAAUAAAAUAAAUUAUGUGAAACAAAAGAUAUUUAGUUUAAUUAAUUUUAUUAUGUCAUGUUAAAUUGUAUAAAAUAAAUUUAUAUAAAAAUUUGUAGUUAGGUUAUUGAUCUGCACCGAUAUACAGAGUCUUCUAUUUAUGUUAGCGUAAACCAGCACCGAUACAUACAGUAUUCUAUUUGCUUGAGUGUAGGGGUGUUCGCGGAUCGGAUUUUACAGAUUGGACAUCAAUCCAUAUCCGAUCCAUGAUUUUGCGGAUUAUAAUUUUUCAAUCCAAUCCAAUCCAAUCCACGGAUUGAUAAAAUUCAAUUCAAAUCCAAUCCAUACAUCUGUGGAUCGGAUGCGGAUUUGACUAAGUCCAUAUCAAAUCCAUACGUCUGCGGAUCGGAUGCAGAUUUGACUCAAUCCAUUUCCAAUCCACCAUUUUGCGCAUUAGUUUUCGAAUUAAAAAUUUUUAGUUCUCUCUAACUAAUGAAAUUAAAAAAAAUCUAAUAUAAAAAUAAUUUUGCUACCAAUUAAAUUUAAAUUGAAUAAAAUUUAAAUAAAUUAAUUGUUUAAAUAAAGCUAAAAUCAUAUAUUUAAAGUUUCAAAAUAUAACACAUCGAGACUAAUUAUUCAAAUAAAGCUACAAUAAUACGUUCAAAGUUUCAAAAUAUAACACACCAAGCUUAAUUGUUCAAAUAAAGUUACAAUAAUACGUUAAUAUAACACUGAAAUUAAUUGUUGAAAUAAAGCCACAAUUAAUUGAAAUGACAAAGUUUCGGAAACCAAACACAGUCUGAUCCUUCACCAGGGCUGUUGCGCUUGUCGAAAAGUGGUGAUUACGGAGCCGUCCACGAUGGGAACCAGGAAAAGCUGUACGGGUGGCGAUCUUGAAAGUUGUGAUAGUAACAUUGUUCAGCUGGAACCAGUGAAUGUGCAGUGGCUCGAUAGACUUGGGAAAGAAGAUGGCUUGCUCUCGUCGUAAUCUCGCGGCUGAUGUCCUUCAAAUCCGUGUCGAGAGUGUAUCCAACCAGUAUUGAAUGUUGCUAGUGUAUGUGACGGCAGGGAAGCUUAGGGUUUUUUAUUUGUAAAUUGUUUGUGACUUGGCGUCAUGUUACUUUGUUUUUGGGUGACUUUGCAAAUUGUUGGUGACUUGGCGUUAUGUUACUUUGCUUUUUUUAGUGUGUGUGACUUUGCUUUUAUUUUGUUUUACAAUUUUUACAAGUUAUAUUUAUAUUUGAUUAUUUAAUUAUUUUUCAUUUUAUAUUAUUAUUGGGUAAUGGUGAAGAUAUGUUAUAGUGCUUAUGUAACUAUAUAAUACCACAUUUAUAAUUUUUUUAAUUAAAUUUAUAAUAAUUUUUUAAUUAUAUAUAUAUAUAUAUAUAUAUAUAUAUUUUUUUUUUUUUUUUUUUUUUUGCGGAUUCACAGAUUUCUGCGGAUUUAUAGAAGUAAAUCCAUAUCUAAUCCAUCGACUGCGAAUUUUUAAAUUUUUAAUUUAUAUCUAAUUCACUAAUCCACAAAUUAAAUUUAGCGAAUCGGACAGAUUGAGCGGAUCGAAUUAGAUUCUGAACACCCUUACUUAACUCUAUCCAAUUUUUUCGUCCAAUAUGAUUACUCUUAAAAUAAAAACCAUGGACCCCAUGAACGAGACGUCACGUGGGCCCACUAAUCUUGAUGAUAAUAUCUUUUUCAUGUACAAAAGAACACCCCCGCUGUACAGCGACACCGCUUUCUUUGUCUUUCCUUUCGUUUUCGUCAGCCUCCACCAACCCUUAAAUAGGCACCCCAUUUUCUUUCACUCCUAUCCAUUGCCCACGCGUCCCAUCAUGAUUGCUUCUCCGGUUCUAAUCACGAAGAUUUCGUGAAAUGGACUUACGAGAUGGGCCCCAUCUCUGCGCAGACUACACCGUCUAUUCUCUUUAUGAAAAGAAAAUAAAACUAUUUAAAAUCUCUAAAUCACUCUAUCUUCUCGUGAUAAAUUGAAUUCAACUCGUUUUUCAUCUUUUAUUUAUAAAUUGUAAAUAAAAAAAAUCAAAAGAAUUCAACUGAUAUUCCUUUUGAGAAAUUAUAAAAAAAAAAAAAUUAUACGGUAGCCAACUUCCUUGCAUGAACAUGACCUUGAUUCAAUUUAUUGAACAUACGUAUAUGUUACUUUAAUAUACUUUUUUCUUAUAGUUUACAAAAUAUAGUGGUUAUUUUCUUUCGUAUACCAAACAAUAGAUGUGUAUGUAGGUUGAAGCAAAUAUAAUUUUAUAAACUAACACUAUGUUGUACCGUAUUUGGUAAAAUAUUUAAUGUUGACAUCUUAUGACAUUAUUAUUAUUAAAUCUUCAAUAAAGAUUCUUCAUUGUAUUGAACAAUUUUCUAUAUAAUAUAAACUAUGUAUUUCGUUAUAAUGAAAGCUGUCAAGAAAGGUCGUCUCAACUUUUAUAUUAAGAAUUUGUAUUCAUAAAUAUAUAAUAUGAUAUAAACCUUAAACAUUAAAAUUGUUUCAUAACUUAGUUAUCAAUAAAAGAUUUAACAAUUUUUUAAUUAUUGAUCGUAAAUAUUAGCACAUUAUAAUACAAUAUAAAAAUAACCUUACAGUUAAUUUAUUAUUGUCACAUUAUAAAUCUAUAGAAUUAAUUUGAAUUAGUAAAAUUAUUAAGACAAAGUUAGAAAGAUAUAUCAACAUUGGCUGGGUCCAGCUAGUUUGCAACUGUGAUUUGGUACCUCAUUUUUUGUCUGUUUGUGAUCCAACCAUUAGAUUCAACCCAAGAAUUGCAAAAACUAUUCCAACAGUAAGGAUGCAAUUACUUGGUUAUUAACGCUGCAGCCCCUCCUAUUUCAUAAAAAAAUAAGAAAAUAUUAAAUUUCAAGAUUUUGACACAUAAGUCAAUCAAAAUAUUUUAUGAUCUUUAUAUAGGUCAAGGGUAAUUUAAUAAAUAAAUAUAUUUAGAUAUACAAAAAUAUGGAUGGAUUAUUUUAACUUUCUAAAAUACUCCCCACACCCAUUUAUUUAAAAUAUCAAUUACAAAAAAUCCCAUUUUUAGUAUUUUAAAAAUAAAAUAAAAUACCCAUUUAAUGUUUUACCAUUUAAGAUAGUGUUACUUAUAAGGAUAAAUAAUUAUUUUAAUUAAAUAAAUGAAACUUAACUUUUAUUUCUAUAAAUUUGCUCAACAUCAAAUAACCUUAUAAUUGUUGGCAUAAGAUAUAAAUUUAGUCUAAAAAUUAUAUUCAAAGGGCCCCUUGGGGGAAAAAAUUAAUUAUCAUAUGAUAAUUUGGUUGGUACAAACUGUAUUAUUCUUAAUUUACUUAUUAAUUUCAAACACUAAAUUUGAAUUAAAUUUUAGUAAAAUAAACCUAUGUCAUCAUCUUUAACCACAUUCAACAGACCCUAAUUGUUUAUAUUCUGUUAUAAAGAGCAAGAUAUAGUUCUUCUCUUAUUACGGUAGUAAAAAAAAUAAAAAUAAACACAAUAGAUUUCUUUUAAGAGAAUGCAAGCAUUAUUUUUAUGAGAUUUUGUGUUCAAGAAAUUAAUCUAAUUAUGUGGUUAGAAGACUCUAUUUUUUGAUAUUUUAGAAGAAUUAUUUGUUGGAUAAAUGAAUAAAUUAAGGUCAAAGCAGAACAAAAUGAUUGAGAAGAAAACCGAGAGAGAAUUUUUUUAGAAUUUUAAAAUUUUCAUAUUUUAAUUGGGGUUUAUUAUGCAAAUUUAUUGAAAUUUAUAGUUUUUGAUAUUACAGAAAACAGUAGAGAUUGUUGAAGAAAAUGCCAAAUAAAUUUUUUAGAAUUCUAAAAUUAUUAUAUUUUAAUUAGGACUUAUUGUCUAAAAUUUUUAAAAUUUAUAGUUUUUAUUAUUUGCCAAAAACAAUGGGGAUUGUUAAAGAAAAUGUUAAAAUUGGGUGUUUGGUAUAACGGAGGCAAGAUAGUUCUAUCCAAAUUGGCUAGAACUGCCUAUUAAAGUAACAUAUACGUAUUUUAUAUGGAUACAUUAUGUAGCAAAAAAAAUGAAGAUUUUUGUAACAAACUUGGCAAAUAUCUAAAUUGCUGUGUUGAUACUAAAUAAUUAAUCACUUUAAGAAUUCAUUUACUUUUAGUGUAAAUCAAAAGGAAGACGAUAGAUUCACGAAACUUCUACCUCAAAAAAGCAAACGAUCCAAAUUGAAUAAAUAGUCAACCAAUUAAUCAAACGAGGUCCUCUGAAUAUAAUAAGAACUUGACCUUUUGCUUUAUCUCAGCAACAAGUUGAGUGUUGUGUGACUUAAGAUUAAAAUAUUAAUCAAACUACAAAAUUAUAUCAUUUAAGAAAUUAUAUUUAGGUAUUUACUUAAUUAAAGUUUUAGUUAGCCACCGAGUGACUCUUAUGUGAGAAUGUUAAUUCCUUGAGCAUGUGACAUUUUCUUUAAAGAUUUUUGAAUUGUUUGAUGGUUGUGAGAGUAAAAUUUAAAAUAAUAAAAAUAGAUAUAAUUAUCAUGUUAAUGGGACCACACUUUAGUCAUUAAUUCAUAUAAGAAUAUGAAUUCAAAUAUCAUGUAAAUGAAAUUUGAAAAAAAAAAUAGAUUUGUUAACAUCACAGGUAGAAGUUGACUUUAAAUUUCUAAUGAAUCUGUCAUAAUAUUCUUUUUUUCCUGAAUAAUCAUGUUAAUGUUUAAGUUAUUAGAUAAGGAUCCAACAUUAACAUUUGAAGUUUAUGCUUUAAUAAAAUUGUGUAAAUUUGAUAACAAAAACAUUAAAUUCAAAUAAAAGUAAAAUUUACAUGUUGUUCAGCUAGUCUUAGAAUGAUAGAGUACUGAUAUAGAGUUACGAUGUUUAAUACUUAUUACGACCAAAAUAAAAUUUUUAUAUUUGCCUUGUCUUUCAGAUUUGUAAUCAAAUGGCCGAUGUUUUAACUAAAUUUGUAUUCUGUUGCUUUGAUUUUUAUGUUUGGCUAGAUCCCAGGCAAUUACUUUGUUAUUUUUGAUUGGUUAUUCGGAAAUAAAUGAAGUCUAUUAUUCAGAAAAAUAAUUACCUGCAAAAAUCGUACUCCAUUUUCAACUAUUCGUAUCCAAAAUCUUACAAAAAGGUAAUAAUAUUCCAAACUAAUUAAAAAACGACACGUAAUCAGACAAGUCCACACGAAACCUACCCAAAAGCGCCAAAAAAAAAAGGAAAAAGAAACUCGUUCAUUCAAUUUAUCGGGAUACGAUAAAUUCUUAACAAAAUGUCAUAUCAAUUUCACCAUCAAAACUACGGUAUUGUUUUAUAUAUAGUAAAGAAUUUUUUUUAAAAGCAAAUAAAAACAAAAAAAAUAUAUAUAUAAAGGACUCGUGCGUGCCUUUCAUUUCCCUCCUGUUUUUGUCACCCGCCUCUUCCUCAUCUCGCCACCUGUUUCCCCCACUACGCACACAAAAACGUCACCGUUUCAUUCUCACUCCUUCCUCACACCCCUCUCCUUUUCCCCACGUUCCUUCGUUUCAUAUCAUCUCAAAAAUUCAUUCUUUUAACAUUAAUAAUAAUAAUUUUAUUGAAAUAAAUCAAUCAAAAAGGUAACUCCAAAUAUCUCCUCCAGCUUUUUGCUGCUUCUUAAUUUUGAUCGACUAUGACGAUGUACUAAACUAAAGCUUCAAUUUUUUUCAGUUUUUUCAGUCAACGCUUUUGCUUCAAGAUUUCGUUUUACCUUCCUUGAAAAUUAAAGCUCACCUAAUUGAUACAAUUAAAACUCUUUUUUUAGCUGAAAAUUGAUACAAUUUUUACUACUUUUUUCUUAACUUUGUAUCCAGAUUUGCUGCUUUUGUUUACAGUUUUUUAUUUUUUUAAUAUUUUUCUGUGGAGCUAAGCAUGACUUUGGUUACAGCUUUAUAUUAUUUUAACAUAUAAUUAGACUAAUUUAUUUAUUUGUGGAUUUAUUAUUUUUUAAAUAUGGUUUGAGACUUCUGAUGUUUCAAUAUUUAUUGCACACGUGUAGUGCAGUGGCUUUAAUAAAUGUGGUAUUGUAAAGUUUAAUGCUUUUUGCAUGUGAAUGAGCUGGUGUGUACACUUUCAUUGAUGUUUAGAUUCAUGUAUGUGGUGAUCUCUGAUCUGGGUACACGUUAGAUUUUAAUUUUAUGGCAUGGUUCAUUUGACCAAAUUUUGUUGUUACUUGAACUGAUGAACGUGAAUUUCGAAGUUAAUACGUGUGUUUGAUUGAUUGGAUUUUGUAAGAUUCCUUUGUAGAAAUAUUUUAAUCCCACGAACAGUAUGAUUCAGCAAAUAGCUUUGAGAAUGGUAUUGAUUCUAGGCCAAAAUUACUUUAGGGUUUGGUACCCCACUCGUUUGUCAUUUACCAAAGUCAGGAUUGGAUUUUAUCUAACGGCUACAAAAGAUACACAUAGAGAAUUAUGAGCAACCUGAGAAACAGGUUAGGAGCCGGUCACCGGGUGAAAAACAACUGAUUGGAAAAGAGCACAUGUAAUCGAUCAGAAGUUUUUAAGUUUUUUGACAGCUUACGCAUUUAAACAAAUAACAAACCGAGAUAUGCAGCUAAUGGUUGCAAACAACUAUUUGCAAGCGUGCUAGUAUUGGUUGGACUAAGAUUGAUACAAAAUUUCUCAUAAUUAUGUCUUAAAUAUUUGCAAAUGAUCAGGUUAUGUAUUGCCAAACAUAAUAUAUUCCCAUUUUCUACUUCUUCCUGCCAUUCUCUAUUUUACAACCAAGCCUAACAUCCUAUGCCCAUUUAUGCUUCUUCAUGCCUACCCAGCUCCCACCAACUCUGCAACCUUCUAGAGCUGGUCGAGUAAAGCACGUUGUUGCCGAGAAAUCUCUUCACUCCCGGACCUAAAACCUUCUGUUUUGCUGCUUCCAUCAAACUUUUUUGUUGAAGAAUCUGAGGAAGAAAAUGCACAUUUUGAAGAAAAACCCAUUUGUUGUUGAUGGUUUCUGAGUAAGAACUCAUGGCGUGGAUCAGAGAAUGGUAGUUUGGGGAUGUAAGGAGAGGAAAGGUCUAACCUUCCUGAUGAGUUGUGGCGCUUUGGUUGUGGCUGAAGCAAGUGGCUGUGGUGGUGAUGGUGUUCCUGGUGCAGAGGAUAAGCACUCAAAGGCAAAAGAAAGUUUGGAUUUUGACGAUGCUGAGACUGUAACUGUUGGUGAUUCAUAAAUAUCUGAGGAUAAAAAAAACUACAUCUUCAGCCGGUUAUCCAUUUUCUAAAUAUUAAAUCUCAGCCAUUAAAUAUCUUUCUUCACAAUCUAAAGGGUCAUUGGCUAUAAGACAAAUGACUGGGGUACCAAACCCAUGGUGCAAGGUAGCUGGACCCAUUGAUUCUAUUCUUGUUUGUUUAUUCUUAUAAGAACUUUGAUGCAUCCUUCAGAUUCCUUUUGAACCAUGUUGUUAAGAUAAUAGAAUUAGUUAAGAUGGUUUAGUUAGUUAAGCUCAGUUGAUUUGUUUAAUCAAGUUUGUUAUUAAUGCUGACUUGGCAGCUGAGCUGGAGGAAGGUUGUUAUGCUGUUAGCUAAAGCUUAAACAGCAUGUAGAAGAUUCGAAAUGCUUGUAUAUAUACAUCUUUGUAAAACCAUUCAGAUUAAUGAAAUGAUUCACAUUCAUUCUCUCUUGUCAUUUUCUCUCUGUAACUUUCUUAGAAACCAAACAAAUACUUUACAAUUUAACAUGGUAUCAGAGCCAAACUAAAAGCAAAAAUGGCGUUCUCAAAUCCAAACACAGCAAUUUCUGUUUCUUCAUUCACUUUCACUUCUCCUAUUAAGCUUGAUCGAUCGAACUACACAAUCUGGAAAUCUCAAAUUCUCUCUUCAGUACGUGCAAAUGGUCUUGAAGAUCAUUUCGAUAGCUCCAAGUCAUGUCCAGAUCAACUUCUUCAAAGUGAAUCUGAGAACUCUGAAAUUGAAACUCGAACAAAUCCAGAGUUCACUGCUUGGAAAAGGAAGGAUCAAAUGCUGCUGAGUUGGAUGCUGUCUUCUAUAAAUCUCGAGAUCCUCAGCCUUGUGGUAAACUCUGAAACUUCACUUGAACUUUGGACUAGUCUUGAGCAACAAUUCGGAUCUGAAACCUUUGCUAAAAAGGUUCAUCUUAAGAUGAUGCUUAACAAUCUUAGAAAAAGUUCAAUGUCUAUGACUGAAUUUUUUGGAAAACUGAAAACAAUAACUGAUGAUUUAGCUAUAGCUGGAAGCCCUGUUAGCUCUCUAGAUUUUAUUACACAUCUUAUCUCUGGGCUAGGUCAACCAUACUACCCUGUGGUUGUGUAUAUCGAGGCAAAUCUAGCAAAAAUGACUGUUAAUGAAGCUUACUCAAUGCUUUUAACUCAUGAAGCUAGCAAGGAAGCUAAAUUGACUUAUGCUGCAAAUGUUGCUCAAACUGGAACUAAUACUAAGUUUGGAGGACAGAAUAAUGCUAACUGGAUUAGGAAUGUCAAUAAUAAUAAUGGUGGCAGAGGAGCCUUUGGUAGAGGUUUUUCUCAAGGCCGAGGUAGAGGAAAUUGGAAUGGAGGCUGGAAUAAUAAUGCUCAGUCUGGAAAUUAUCAAGGCAGAGGAGGAUAUGGUGUUAACAAUGCCAAUAAUUUUGGUGCUAAUAAUGGAAAUUUUGGUGGAAAUUUUGGUGGCUUCACUAAUGGAAAAGGUGCUUCAGAUCCAAAUGGAGCUGCUGUAAUCUGUCAAAUAUGCUUUAAGCCAAAGCAUACUGCAGCUGAAUGCAGGAACAGGUUCAAUAAAGAAUUUGUGCCUUAUUACAAUCCAUAUUCAGGCUAUAAUUCAUAUCAGAAUCCUGGACCAAGAGCUUUCUAUCCAAAUUCAGCACCAAGAGCUGCUUUCCUGGCAACCUCAGAAGGUGACAUGGCUGAUCAAGGCUGGUAUGUUGACAGUGGGGCAACACAUCAUCUCACCAACAACCUGCAGAACUUGAACCUUGGAAGAGAAUAUUCAGGUAAUCAGCUACUACAUGUUGGUAAUGGCCAAGGUCUGAAAAUUACACACAUUGGAUAUACUUGUCUCCCCACUUCCUGUGAUUCUUUUCUGCAUUUACAAGAUAUCUUGUGUGUACCUCAUCUUACUAAAAAUCUCAUAAGCAUUUCUAAAUUGCUUGAAAAUACCAAUUUAACCAUUGAGUUUGUUGCCAAUAUGUGUUUUAUUAAGGACAAGAGGAAGGGAGUGCAUCUGGCUCAAGGGAUUGCUAGAGGAGGACUGUAUAAGUUGCUGUCUAAGGAUGACUUUCUCUCCAGUUCAUGUGUCACCAGUCAUAAUCCUAGUUCUAUGCUUUCUGUUUUUAACCAGUCAGCUUGUAACUUUUCUGGUUUGUCUUUGAAUAAAGUUUGUACUCAAACAAGUAAUUCUCAGAGUCAUUUGAGCACUGUUAACCCAGCUAUGUUUGCUAAUGUGUUACACCAAAGAUUUGGUCAUCCUAAUAAACAUGCAUUGAAAAACAUAUUAUCCUCUCUUGCACUUUCUGCAUCUAUUCCUGAUUUUUGUGAUGCUUGUCAAUAUGGUAAAAUGCAUCAACUUUCCUUCUACUCUACAGGCAUAAAAACAAAAACUCCUUUAGAACUUGUAUAUACCGAUCUUUGGGGUCCAGCAUCUAUACCAUCUCUACAUGGAUAUAGAUAUUACAUUAGUUUUGUGGAUGAUUACAGCAGAUACUGCUGGAUUUUUCCAUUAACCCUUAAGUCAGAAGCUUUAGAUACAUUCAAGUAUUUCAAAACCUUAGUUGAAAAACAACUUGGUUUCUCUCUAAAGUCUUUACAAUCUGAUUGGGGAGGGGAGUACAGAAGCUUUGAAAAAUUUCUUGAGGCAGAAGGGAUACAUUUUAGGCAUAGUUGUCCUCACACACAUCAUCAAAAUGGUGUAGUUGAGAGAAAGCAUAGGCAUGUUGUAGAAACUGGGUUAACACUUCUUGCACAAGCUAAAAUGCCUUUAUCUUUUUGGUGGGAGUCAUUUCAUACAGCUUCCUUUCUUAUUAACAGAAUGCCAACCCCAGUGUUGAAUAAUGUUUCUCCUUUUGCCAAACUUCAUGGUAGACCACCAGAUUACAAGUUCCUUAGAACUUUUGGUUGCUCUUGCUUUCCUCUUCUCAGACCCUACAAUAACCAUAAACUCAAUUUUCAUACACAAAAAUGCCUAAUGAUUGGCUAUAGUCCUAUACACAAGGGAUAUAAAUGCCUGGAUUCCACUGGUAAAACAUACAUUGCUAGACAUGUUCAGUUUAAUGAAUCAGAAUUUCCUUAUUUUGAACUCUUUCCUACAAAGUCUGAUUCAUAACUCUCAUCCAUCCAACCAAGUCAAGUCUCUUUUUCAAAUAUUCCAAUUACAGAAGUCAUUCAAGACAGCAACAAUGCACAAUCCUAUGCUAUUCCCUCAAAUCCAGAUGCAGGACCUGAUUCAAGUCACUCCCAUACAUUUUCAGCACAUUCAUCUCCAAGCCAUUCAUCUCAAAACUUAUCACCACACAUCCAAGUUCAUCAGCCAGUACAGACAUCUUCAGUUCAGAACAUUCAUUCCAUGACUACCAGAUCAAAAGCUGGUGUGUUUAAGCCCAAGACAUACUUAACAGUAGCUCAAGAGCUUGAACCUUCAUCUGUUAAAGCAGCUCUAGCAGACUCCAAAUGGCAACAAGCUAUGCAAGAAGAAUUUGAUGCACUACAAAAGAAUCAAACCUGGUUUCUUAUUCCUCCAGAAACAGUUGGGAAGAUUGUUGGAAACAAAUGGGUAUUCAGAAUUAAAUAUAACCCUGAUGGCAGCAUAUCAAAGUACAAAGUCAGAUUGGUUGCCAAGGGGUUUCAUCAGACACAAGGGGUGGAUUUUUUUGAAACUUUCAGUCCAGUUGUAAAGCCCUGCACCAUUAGAAUAAUUCUGAGUCUUGCUGUCAUGAAUCACUGGACAAUUAGGCAGCUAGAUGUUAACAAUGCCUUCCUUAAUGGCAUUCUUACAUAGGAUGUUUUUAUGCAUCAACCUGAGGGUUUUGUUCAUCCUCAAUUUCCAGCUCAUAUCUGCAAACUCACUAAGGCACUUUAUGGACUCAAACAGGCUCCAAGAGCCUGGUAUGAUAGGUUGAAAGCUUCUUUAAUUCAGUGGGGUUUUGUGACAUCCAAAUCAGAUACUUCCUUGUUUGUUCAUCAUGUGGCAGGAGAAAUUAUUGUGGCACUAAUCUAUGUAGAUGAUAUUUUGAUCACAGGCUCAAAUUCUCUUUUGGUAGAAAAGGUGAUACAUCAGUUGGGUGCCGAGUUUGCCUUGAAAGAUCUUGGGGAGUUUAAUUACUUUCUCGGUCUUGAGGUAACUCCAAAUGUGGAUGGUUUGCACUUAUCACAAACUAAGUACAUUGGUGAUUUGCUUAAGAAAGCUCAAAUGGUGAACUGCAAGGGCUGUUCAACACCAAUGAGCUCAACAGAGAAAUUAGUCAAAGACAAGGGUGAAGUGUUUGAGAAUCCUUCUCUAUACAGAAGUUUGGUUGGCUCAUUGCAAUAUGUUACACUAACAAGGCCUGAAAUUGCUUUUACAGUGAAUAAACUCAGCCAAUAUCUUUCUAAUCCAUCAGUACUUCAUUGGCAAGCUUGCAAAAGGGUGCUGAGGUAUCUGCAGUAUACAGCAGAUCAUGGUUUACAAUUUUACUCAUCUGGAUCACUUAGUCUUACAGCUUUUUCAGAUGCUGAUUGGGGAUCUGAUCUGGAUGAUAGGAAGUCAGUGGGGGGAUAUUGUGUUUACUUAGGCAACAACUUGGUUUCAUGGUCCUCUAAGAAACAGCAUAUAGUAUCUAGAAGUACAGCUGAAUCAGAAUACAGAGCUUUGGCUUUGACAACAUCUGAGGUAUUGUGGAUCACAUAUCUUUUCAAAGAACUAAAAGUGUCUUUGCUGCAGUCUCCAGUUCUCUACUGUGACAACAAAAGUGCAGAAGCCCUUGCUAGCAAUCCUAAGUAUCAUUCUAAAACUAAACACAUUGAACUUGAUCUACACUUCAUUAGAGAGCAUGUAUCUAGAAAGGAGCUGCAGAUUAAUCAUGUUCCAAGUUGUGAUCAGGUAGCAGAUAUUCUAACUAAACCAUUAGCAUUUGAUCAAUUUCAUUAUCUACGGUCCAAGCUCAAUGUUCUUCCCAGACCUUGAGCUUGAGAGGGGCUGUUAAGAUAAUAGAAUUAGUUAAGAUGGUUUAGUUAGUUAAGCUCAGUUGAUUUGUUUAAUCAAGUUUGUUAUUAAUGCUGACUUGGCAGCUGAGCUGGAGGAAGGUUGUUAUGCUGUUAGCUAAAGCUUAAACAGCAUGUAGAAGAUUCGAAAUGCUUGUAUAUAUACAUCUUUGUAAAACCAUUCAGAUUAAUGAAAUGAUUCACAUUCAUUCUCUCUUGUCAUUUUCUCUCUGUAACUUUCUUAGAAACCAAACAAAUACUUUACAAUUUAACACAUGUAGUUAUAUAUUUGGAUUAGUUUAUAGCAUAUCAACUGUUGAUUGUUGCAUUUAGAUGUUUUUUGUCACUUCCGCUCUUGAUUGCUUAUUAUAUGUCAGUUAAAGAGCAAACAUUAUACAAGUUCUUGAUUGAUUAGUGCUCUUUCGUAUAACGGGUUCGUGACUGAUGUUCACUUUCUUAGUUUUUUGCAUCAAAAGUAAAGAAUGGUUUCAAAAUUCCUGGAGUGCCUCAUGAAGCUGUCUAUGCAUUUUUUCGUUUUGUCUAUUCCUCCUGGUAUGUUGAAAGAAUUCUUGCCAUAUUCUCAUUGUGCUUGAGUAUCUAGUUACUUAAAAUGAUGAAUAUGGUUUUCAGAGGAUUUUCAUGUUACUGAUUUAUUGGCUCCUAGAUUCCUUGAAAAUGAAUUAUUAUGGGUGUGUUGAUGAUUCAAAAAGGGGUCCCAGAUAUAUCAAAAUUGCUUGGUUUAUUUUUCUCAUGUACUGUAGUUCGUUUGUUCUAGUUUUCAAGAAUCGUGAGGGGUUGGUUAUUACGUCAUCCAUAUAUGCUUGGUAUAUGGUGUACACUUUCAUUUAUAUAUAAAAUAAAGUUUGCGCAUUCCUUAGAGGUUUAAUGACAUCCAUCUCUGUAUAUAUAAAAGACUACGUCCAAUAAGAGUUUUGAUUUUAAAUAUAUUUUAGUUUGAAGAGCGUACGGGGCAGUGAUGAACACAUUUGACGAGUUGGAAUGGGGGAUAUGUUGAAGAGUUUUGUAACUACAAUGUUGUAGCUCAAAACCAACUGACUUUUUUUCUUUUCUGUUGAUUAAAUUCAUGACAAUAAAGGAAAAGUUUUAGUGUACGAGCCUUAGUAUAAUUUUUCAAAUAGAGUUUAUUUUACUAUAGCUUUAUUACUUGAGCUUUUACAAGUAAAAUUUUUAAAUAAAAAAAUAAUUAAUUAUUUGAUUGUCAACAAGAGUUUUUAUUAAAAAUUAUUACUUUAAUCGGUAAUUUCUUUUAAAAUUAUAUUGUGAAAGAACUGAAAUGAGAUUGUCAAAUAAGUAAAUGAUAUUUUUAAAAUUUUAACAUUUUAAAAAGCUUUUCAACCUUUAUUCUCAAAAAUCCAGAAUUUCAGUUUUUGUUUGUAAAGAUAAAAUGAUUUAUUUAAUCCUCAAAAACUUUACUAAAAAAUUAACUAACAACAAUAAUAAAUUUUAAAAGAGAUUGUGAGAUUAAAUAAAUACUUAUAGUCAUUAGAUAAGCGAUGCUAAAUAAAGACUAAAAAAUUAAAAAGAAAUAAUGGAAACGGCUUAUGGGAGACAAAAUGAGUUUUACCUUCAUUAAAUACAAGAAAUAAAAAAAUUGAGAAGCUCCACGCAGGGAGCAAGAAAAGUAGAGAACCAAAAGUAAACAUAAAUAAUAGUUUCAAAAGCCAUUAGCACCUCUAGAAAGAAAAAGUGAAGCUUAUGCAAGAGGUGAAGACCACAAGUGAAAGAAAAGGUUAAGCAUCUACAUGAGGUAAAGAUCACCAAAUAAAGUCUGUACAAUGAAGCUCAAGAUUAACAAUGACAAUCUUGGGCAGUAAUGCAACAUCAAGAGAAUUUAUUCGGUUGGAGUCAGAGAAGGAAUGUGAUAAUAUUUGCUCCACAAUUUCUUUCCACCGAUUAUCCAUCGAAGCAAAUCAAGCAAGAAUGUGUUGUUGUAUUUGGAAUAUGCAGCUCACUUUUCAGAUCCAGCCUUUGGAAUUGCCAAGUUUAUGAAGCCAGACUCGUGCAAUUGGACUGUAUGCGCAAGCACAUAUGGAUUUGUCAUUGUUGCUCCACGUAUCUAAUAUUCGUUUGUUGCCGUUUUAAGGAAUAUUUUUAUGUUACGUGUGCGGUAACAGAACAAUGUAACUAGAUAUUGUUGAAAAAUAUUAUGUAGUACAUUCAGUAGACUUGUAAAAGCUUACUAAUUUAUGCACAUUUAUCUUAGAAACAGAGUAAACUUUUUUUACUUUGUCCUUGAGCUUGCAGAGCUUGCUUACACAAUGAAGAUCAUAGAGAAAUGCGACGUGUAGAGUCUUGGAGUGUUAGUGCUGGAAGUGAUUAAAGGGACGCAUCCAUGAUAUUUUCUUUCUUCGUUUUCAUCUUCAUCUUUCACAUGAACACAGCAGUACUUGAUGAAAUGUUGGACCCUCGUCUUCCAACUCCGUUGCGCAAUGUUCAAGAUAGACUGCUAUCAAUCAUGGAGGUUGCAUUUUCGUGCUUAGAUGGGAAUCCAGAAUCGCGACCAACCAUGGAGACAGUCAGUCAAUUACGAAUAAUCUAAUAAUUACGAAUAAGCUAAUAAUUACGAAUAAUCCCAAGGGGUUGGAGACUAAGAUUUAAGGUGAACUGCCACGGAGGAGUCAGAAUCAAUCACUAAAAUAAUUGCCAUAACCUCAGCAUAGUAAUAAUUAAAAAAUAAUUUCUUGCUCAUGUACAAAGAGGUGAACCCCUCGAAUGUAAACUUGAAAGUGUUCAUAACUGGAUUAAUUAAUGCACAAUUCAUAGCUAUUGUUAAUGUUAAAAGAAAGGAAUAGAUUGGGAAAAAAAUAAAAAAUUAAGGAUAAUUUACAAUUAAUGUAGUCCUUAUGAUUUAAGGAAAAAUCAAGUAAGCCAGAAAUAAUUAGUACUAUUUUUCAAAUAAGUCCUCUGACCCUGUUUGACCAUUCACCGAAAAAAUCGAGUUCUUAGCAACCCACGUGUCCAUAAGAUCACAGGUGUAACACAGGCAUUGACUCCUUCACUUCUCAAUUGCUCUUUUGCUUCCGCUGUAAUUGUUUUCCGCAACGUCGUUAAAUUAUAUAUGAGUGUUUGAUAACCUUUUCAAUUUCUAUCAAUGGUGUCACAAACCUUGAAUAGAGUAUCUUUUACUGUUUGGUGAUUCUAUUUUAUACGUGUUUGUAUUAGAAUUUUUACUUAUCAUUGAAAAACCGGGGGAUGAAAUCUAACACGUACUAAUUAAAUUUAUUUCAUGAUAAUAAACUGAAUUAAUUUUUUUAAUAAUUUGAUAACUUUACCUUAAAAGAAAAACUUUCAUAUGAAUUAUAACGCUUACUAUGGCAUGAACAGGGACCCUUUUUUCCCAAUCCAAAGCCUAUACUAUGUUUGGCAAGGUUUUAUAUACUGGGAGAGGGAUAAAUAGAGAAAAACAUAUCCAUUGGAACCGUACCUCCAACAGGAUAAGUUGGGAAAAGCAAUCAAUAAUUUAACUAAUUAAUUAAAAUUAUAAAAAAAUGUUGAGGGUGGGACAAAAUCAAAUUUAUUUUUUAUCCUUUACCUCCCCAUGAUACUAUUCAGUCAGGGCCUAGAGACAAUUAAAUUAAUUAUUACUAAGAUAACAAUAUUAUAGGUAAAUCAACUUAUUCUAAUUGAAUUAUUUAAUGAUACAUAUAUUACAUAAAUUAAAAAAUUAUAGAAAUUUUUAUUUAUAUUUAAUUAACUUCCAUUUACAUUGAAUCAAAUAAUCAGUACCACAUUUUUUUUGUUAAUAAUAUAAAAUAUGUUAUUGGCAAUAAUAAAAAAAUGUAUUACAAAUAAUUUAUAAUACAUUUAAAUAUCUUGUAAUUUAGAUGUAUAUUUUUAUUAUUUAUUUCAUGUGGGAAUCCUCCUUGUUUUUCAGCUUCAAGUUCGUUUGAUUUAUUUAGUCUCAUGUAGCAGUGGUUGACAAUUGUGUAGGUUAUUACGACUUCCAUACUAGGUGAUCUCUUCCUCUUAAAAUGUAGUUCUUGUUGUAAUAACUAAUGAUUAGUAUUUUCCAGAUAAGUUCUCUGACUGUUUUUAAUCAUUAACUAACAAUUCAUAUUUUUAACGUUUAUUAAGAAUUUUAGGUUUGUCUAUAAAUAAAUCAAAGGAAUUAAUAAGAAAUUUAGUGAAGGAUGAACAAUUUUGGUAGAGUUAGGAUGUAAACGAAAAUAUAAACAAUUAAUUGUGGCAUUAAGUAUGAGAAAAACUCAAUCUAGACCACUCAUAUUUUGAUAUAUCAUUUGUCAUUAGAUUUUUAAAAGUCUAAUAAACUAAGGGUUACAAAUCCUUUUUUUUCUAACGUGCUCGAGUUCUACAGUACAUUGGAGAAGUCCUAGAAAAUUGAUCAAGGCAACCUGGCUACAAUUGAUAGAAAGGAAACGUUUAAAGUGGCUUGAUUUACAAGAACCCGGUUCGCGAGUCCAUGGUUUCUCCAGGAAGCCUCAGUCGGCUUGCGGUACCACAAUUAAUAGAAGCAUAAAAAAUAGCUUGAUGUAACAAAGAUUUGUGGGUUCUUUUAAAUUCAGCAUUUGAGUUCGUUAUGAUGAAGUUUCUGAGUUUCUUAAUCACCUAAAUAACAUCCUUUAUUAGCCGAGCCAAGUAUAAAAGGUGCUGAUGGGCAGGUGUGUCAAAGCAGAGUGAUUUGUGAUUAUCACACCCGUGAUAUUUACUAGCUCUGAGUGAAAAGAUCAUCCUUAUAAUCUUGGUAAUACUCUCUAUAUAUAACUGUACUCUCUUCUGAAAUCGAUUAAUCAAAUUUGUCUUUCACCUUGCAGAGCUUGCUUAAACAUACUGGAUAUUUGCCUUCCUUUUUCCUUCAGGCUAAUUACUAAAAGUUUUAUAGUCUUGAGCUGAUUUUAUUGUCAAUGUAUAAAUUUAUUCUUUGCUUUUUACGCUUAAUUCAGCAUGACUUUCUCUCAAAUAAGCAAAUUAAUUUGCAAAUUACGCUCAAAGUGUUGUAUCCAUUUUUUUUAAUGUUAAUUAUAAGCAUUCCCUCUAAAUGAAUAUGAUCAAAUUGUUACAUGGUCCAAAUUAGAAUUACGGUCACAAUGUUAGUAUACCGGAAAUCUGGCUAGGAUCCAGAAAUAAAACUUUGUUUUGUUUGUUAAGCUGGUUGAUAUGAAUAUGAAAAGAUAUUGUGAUUCAACUUUUAAAGUCUCUUUAAUUUGUCUCGAACAUUUUGAUAACUUAAACAAAGUAUGUACAUUUGAUGACAAAAAAAGAAGGGUAUUGGAAAAGCCAACCCCAAAAUAUUUAGUCUUUCCGCUCUUUCUCUGGCAUAAUUUUCGGGGAGACAAAAUGCCCAGCAAACAAGUUAAUUUGAUCCGUUAGGAUCGAAAGAAACGUUAAUUAGUCUAUUCGUCCAAUUAUCUUGGUCACAAAUGUUUAUUCUAUGUUCUGGGACGACUUUCCAUGGACUUUAAUUGUAGUUCGAAGGAGAAUGGCUAUCAAUACAAAGAUUUUUUUAACAGAACCGCAUGCAACAAGUGAACCUUUUGUUUGGAUAAUUUUAAUAUCCUAGAUGUCUUUGAAAACUUUUGCCUUAAGCAAUACGGGAAAACUCUUCCCUACUUGAUCAGGAUUUGACUCAUACGCCUCUCAAAUGCUUGUUUAGAGAAAGCUUGUGGGCACGAUCCCCAUACCCCCAGAAACACUCCACACGCUCAAAAUACAAAAGGUAUAUGAGGAGGGAACGAUAGAAGAGCAAGGCAAAAAAAAAACUAAUUCAAAACAAAGUCAAUACCUUUACAAGAAUUCCACAUCUUUGCUAACUUAAGCAUCGGAGUGGAAUUCGGAAAUCUCAUUUUCCAAUUGUCCCAUUUCACAUUUUGGUUUAUUAUGUGUGCAAAUGACUUCCAUCUACCGCACUUGGUUCAGUUCACAUAGAAAAGAAAUACGUAUUAACAAUCACAUAUAUUUUUUUAUUAUAUUUCCGAUAUGACUUUUCAUGUCCUUGCAUUAUAUAAAGAAAAAAAAAAGGAGAAAGAGAGAGAGAAUUGAAGAAUCUUCCCCGAAAAAAACAUUAACGUCAAUUCAAUCCCAGAAAUUAUGCAAUUCACGGUGAGCUAAUCCGCCUUAACAAAGCUUGAAAACGUACGUGCCGAGAAUUUUUAUUAUAAUUUUUUAUUGCUAUUUAAAUUAGGUAGUUGCCCUUGCGCAUGCGAACUUGAAAAUGACAUAUGCAAUUUUAUGAGCUGGCAUUGAUUACAUUGUAAACCAUGCAUGCGAUCUUCACUGUCAGCCAUCAGUGAUAAUGGAGGUUCUUAUGUUGAGUUUUAUUACAGUCUCUGAUUCAUACAUAUAAAGCAUUUAGUGACAGAAUAAAUUCAAAGAAUUAGACUGUAAUUUUUUAUAAAAAUUAAUUCGGUUCUCUUUUUGGUGGUGCAAGGAUCAUUGACAAUAACUUAUCUUGGGACCAUACCUUUUUAUCCUGAGCCCACACUCUUACAAGGCAAAAUCAAUAGUUUUUUAUAUCAUGAGUGACAUAGAAUUUGUUUCCCAACUUUUUACAUAUAUUAUUAAUUUAAAGAGAACUUUACAUGGAGUGAUUUAAUUUAUAUAAAACUGGGCCAAGAUACUGUUUUUUUUUUUUUUUUUUUUGCUAAAAUUUUUUUAAGUAAUGACGUCUGAACUAACGAAAAUCUCACUUACAAAUUCGAGUUCCAACAUAAUAUGCCAGUGAAAAAAAAUAAAACGUCAUCUUACUGUUUAUUUGAUGAAAACCAAAUGUUUAAAGUGACUUGAUUUACAAGAACCCGAUUAGCGAGCCCAUGUUUUGCGUAGGUAGCCUCAGUAGCCCUGCGUUGUAAUAAUUUGUUUUGACGUAACAAAGAUUUGUGCUUACUAAAUUUGUUUUGAUGUAACAAGGAUUUGUACAAGUAAAACAGCAUCCUUUAUUAGCCGAGUCAAGUAUAAAAUUAAGGUGCUGAUGGGCAGGUGCCAAAGCAGGGUGAUUUGAAAUUAUCUGAGUGCAAAGAUAAUGUUUGUAAUCUUCUUAUUACUCGGUAUAAAUAAUACUCUCUUGUGAAAUCCGUUGAUCAUAUUUGUGUUUCACCUUGCAGAACUUGCUUACACAAUGAAGAUUACUGCAUAUUUGUCAUUUCUUUUUUCCAGGGAAAUUAUUAUGACAGUAUUGAGAUUUGAAAUGAUUGUUUGCAAAUUUUAUAGUUUAAAAUUAAGUAUGGAUUUAUUUCCAAAGUAUGUUUAUUCUUUGCUCUAUGCUUAAUUCAUCAUGACUUGAUGACAGAUAAGUAAAUUAAUUUGAAAAUUAAGCUCGAAGUGUUAUAUGCAUUCUUGCAAUAUUAAUUACAAGCAUUCAAUAUGAUGAAACUGUUACAAGGUGCAAAUCAAAAUUAUGGUAACAAUGUUAGUAAAUUGGAAAGCUAGCUAGUCUCUACAAAUUCAAUACAGUCUUGUCUAUUAAAUUGGUCGAUACGAAAGUGAAUAGAAAUUAUAAUUCAACAUUUAAAGUCUCCUCUGUCUCACUCAUCAUUUUAAUAUCUUAACAAUGUACAUUUGAUGACAAAAAAGAAGGGUAAGGAUAAGCCAACCCCAAAAUAUUUAGAAUUUCCAUCCUCUCUCUGGCGUAAUUUUCGGGGAAGCAAGUGCCCAGUGAACAAAAGUUUGAUCAAUCGAUGAUUGGAUCCAAAGAUACGUUAAUUAGUCAAGUCUUUCCAUUAAUUUUGAUCACAAAUGUUUAUCCUAUUUUGUAAGACGACUUGCCAUGGACUUUAAUUGUAGUUGGAAGGGGAGUGGCUAUCAAUACAAAGAUUAUUUUGAUAAAAUUGCAAACGUUUUGUUUGGGUAAUUUUAAAAUCGUAAAAUGCCUUUUAAGACUUUUGCCUUAAGCAACGGGGAAAACUCUUCCCUACUUGAUCAAGCAUCGACUCAUACACCUCUCAAUUGCUAGUCUGGAUUCUCUAUAAUUUUGGCUCGUGUGGAAAAAGCUACACCUCUCAAAAACUUGUUGUUAGAAUUUUAAUGUACUCACAAGCGCACGAAUCUAGAAAUAGAGUAGUAGUAACGAGGUCGAUCCCACAGGGAUUGUUAUAAAUUGAAAAGUCUAAUUUAAAUCUAAAAUUAAUAUUAAUUCUAACCUAGUUGACCAAAUUGAGUUUCUAAGAAAAUUAAACCAAUUAAACUAAGGAAGCAAUUAAAAUAAAGGAGAAUUCAAUAAGAUAAGAAUUAUUAAGGUUUCAGAAUCCACCACUAUUCAACUAGUAAUUAUUUAAUUAUUAAUUAAUCCCCAAUUUUAGAGUGACAACUCGAAAUCAAUCUAUGUCAUCUCAUGGAUAUAACAAUUAAGCCCAAGUAAUUAAAUCUAAUGCAUGUUCUUUUUCUACUUAAUAAUAUGACAUCUAAGAAUCUCAUGUAAACGUAUUGAAUAACAAAGAGUCAAAGUUUUCAUAAGCACUUUAUGUAAACAAUUUAAUGAAAGACAUAAAAUCAAAGAUAAUCAUGUAUAAACUUUAUAGAUCCAAGCAUAGAUUUAAUCGAAUAUUAAUCCUAACAAUCAAUAAUGCAUGACAGAAUUGAUGAAAAGAUUUUAUUAACAUCCAAUUAAUCAUGUGAAAUAAAAAUCAUAAUCAUCAAAGAACAUAUAUAGGGAAUUAAUUAAAUAAAAAGGUAAUUAUUUCAUUGAAUAGAGUUUCAUCAUUAACCUCAGUAUAAGAAAAUUAGCUAAACAUACUUGAAUUGGGAGAAACAAAACAAAUAAAAACAGCCAUGGAGAAGCCAAAUUGCUACAAAUUUUCUUCUCUGUCUCGCGUUUUUCCUCCUCUGGCGGCCACUCUCUCCAAAAGCCAAAACUCCCUUUUAUAAUCUUUAAAAUGGGCCCCACCUCUUAAAUCCUAAAGCCAAAAGGCUUGGCCGUUUACUUGAUUUCCUCUCACACACGUCCUGGGCACUUAGAAUUGCUAAAGGACUCCUUUUUCCAAUUAUAAAAGCCAAGUGUGGGUCCCUUCUUAAAGCUAAAUCAAUUUCUCUCCUUUGCCCGCAUGUACAUAAUAAACUAACUUGUUGAAUUCGGUUCCUUGGCUUGAUUUUCACAUGCAUGUAUGUCUAAUUCCUUCCAAAAAUCAAUUAAUCUUUAAUGCUUAUAAAUUGAACUCCUUUAUACUCUUUUUAUCCAUAAUCUCCAAUUAAUUCCCUAUUCAAUAAAAUAAUUUAAUUAAUUAAAAAUAACAAAUAAAAAUAACUAACAAUUAAAUAAUUAAGGGUAAAAUAUGUAUAUAAAUUAUGCUCAUCAUCUUUCCAUUAAUUUUGAUCACAAAUGUUUAUCCUAUUUUGUAAGACGACUUGCCAUGGACUUUAAUUGUAGUUGGAAGGGGAGUGGCUAUCAAUACAAAGAUUAUUUUGAUAAAAUUGCAAACGUUUUGUUUGGGUAAUUUUAAAAUCGUAAAAUGCCUUUUAAGACUUUUGCCUUAAGCAACGGGGAAAACUCUUCCCUACUUGAUCAAGCAUCGACUCAUACACCUCUCAAUUGCUAGUCUGGAUUCUAUAUAAUUUUGGCUCGUGUGGAAAAAUCUACUCGUGGAUUCCUCCUAAUAGCUCCAAUGAUUUUUCCUGAAAUUAAAACCAUAAUCUUUAGCCUUUAACCAUUUAGACUUUGGGCACGGACGAACGUUGUGUUAUGUAGUUCAUAGUCGAAGUGAAAACGGUCUAUAUUUUAGCCAAUAUUCGGUACAUAAAAACAUACUUUGAAAGUUAAUUAAUCUAACGGAACUCAUUUUUUAGGGGGAAAGGAAUCAAUUUACAGGCAUAUACAUAAAAACAUACUUUGAAAGUUAAUUAAUCUAACAGAAC
rnacentral:lncRNA from 1 species